rnacentral:lncRNA from 1 species
AAGUACGCAGUUCGAUAAUCCACCAUAGCAUCUAGCCCCACGUAUUGCAGGCUAGGAAAAGUAAUGCCACACAAAAUAAACUGACAACGAGGUUCAGAAAUAACACCAAAAGCUAAGCUAACUCAAUUCAAAAGUAAACAACCGCGCCGCUUAGUCGACCUCCUCCAUCUUGCUCUCGCCGGCAUCAUCCUCCAGAGGGGGCAUGUCGGUCUCAGCCUCAGUGGUCUCAUCCUCGUCAAUGCUCAGGCCAAGCUUGAGCAUGCGGUGGAUGCGGCUGCCAAAGGUGUUGGGCUCGUCAAGGCUGAAGCCGGAAGUGAGGAGCGCAGUCUCAAACAGCAGCAUGACAAGGUCCUUAACAGACUUGUCGUUCUUGUCAGCCUCAGCACGCUUGCGGAGCUCCUCCAUGAUGGCGUUCUCAGGGUUGAUCUCCAUGGUCUUCUUGGAGGACAUGUAUCCGGACAUGCUGGAGUCCCUCAGCGCCUGGGCCUUCAUGAUCCUCUCCAUGUUGGCCGUCCAGCCAUACUCGCCAGUGACCAGGCAGCAGGGGGAGUCCACCACACGGUCAGAGACCACCACCUUCUCAACCUUGUCACCCAGCACCUCCUUAAUCACCUUGCAGAGGCCCUCAAACUUCUCCUUGAGCUCCUCCUGCCUCUUCUUCUCGUCCUCAGUCUCAUCAAGCUUCAGGCCCUCCUUAGUGGCAGAGACGAGUUUCUUGCCCUCAAAUUCCUUCAGCUGGCCAAUGGCAUACUCAUCAAUUGCAUCCACCAUGUACAGGACUUCAUAGCCCUUCUUCUUCAGCUUCUCAAGGAAGGGGGAGUUCUCCACAGCCUUCUUGCUCUCACCAGUGAUGUAGUAGAUGUCGCUCUGGCCCUCCUUCAUCCUCGUCACAUAGUCCUUGAGGCUAGUCAGCUCAUCACCGCUCUUGGUGGAGUGGUACCUCAGGAGCUCAGCGAUCUUGGUCCUGUUCUGGGAGUCCUCGUGGAUGCCAAGCUUGAGGUUCUUGCAGAAGGCCUCAUAGAACUUGUUGUAGUCCUCCUUGUUCUCAGCAAUCUCGAAGAAGAGCUCAAUGCACUUCUUCACCAGGUUCUUGCGGAUAACCUUGAGGAUCUUGUUCUGCUGGAGGGUCUCACGGGAGAUGUUGAGGGGAAGGUCCUCAGAGUCAACGAUGCCCUUGACAAAGCUCAGCCACUCUGGGAUCAGCUCCUCACAGUUGUCCAUGAUGAAGACACGGCGCACAUAGAGCUUGAUGUUGUUCUGCUUCUUCCUGGUGUCGAAGAGGUCGAAGGGGGCCCUCUUGGGUACAAAGAGGACAGCCUUGAACUCAAGCUGACCCUCAACAGAGAAGUGCUUCACGGCAAGAUGCUCCUCCCAGUCGUUGGUCAAGCUCUUGUAGAAAGCAGCGUACUCUUCCUUGGUGAUCUCCUCAGGCUUCCUCAUCCAGAUAGGCUUCUGCUUGUUGACCAAUUGCCACUCGUGAGAAACCUCCUUGAUCUUCUUCUUUUUCUUCUCUUUCUCUUCCUUCUCCUCAUCAACAUCCUCAACCUUGCCCUCCUCAUCCUUCUUAUCUUCCUCAUCCUCAUCAUCAGAAAUCUCCUUCUCAGUGGUCUUCUCAGUCCAGAGAGAGAUGGGGUAGCUGAUGAACUCAGAGUGCUUCUUGAUCAGAUCCUUGAGGCGUCGCUCCUCAAGGUACUCCAACUGCAGAAAACAAGAGCAAAUUUUUGAGAAUAAGAAGAGAACUAAAUGAUGGAAUUAUUUACAGAUGUUCUAACAAACUCUAAAAAUCAUCAAUACAACAGCAUAAUUAGUACAGUUAAUGUCGAUGUCAUUAGUUUGCUAACAUAAUCCCAUAAUAUUGCCAGUUUCACUAUAAUGAUCAUACUUUAAGCACUCAUUCCAGAAAAAUAAACAUUACUACGAUUAAAAUAGCAUGAUAUGUUGUUCCUACUAAUCUGGGAAAUGCACAAACUAACAGCAAUAUCUCAAAUGUUCCUACUAAUCCUAGAGUGAAUCAAGCCCAGCCUCAAUAAUAAUCAAGUUCCUAUUAUCAACAUUUAUAAUCAGUUAUAACAAACAAAAGAUGUUGGAGGAAUAACAUGCUUACAAUUUAGCAAUAAGCCAACAAAAAAUCAGCACAAACUACAGCAUAAUAGAACAAUGUGAUUUCAACGAAGCAAUAGCAAAAACAGCAUCAGCACUAUCUAAAUAAUAACAAUAAUAAUCCUAUAAGUUAAAACAUGGCAGCAUCACCAUUAGUGAUUAACAUACAGCAACCUUCCAGGGAAUUUCUGCUAUACCUGAUCAUCCUUGAGGUAGAGGGUCAUCUUGGUACCCCUGCCAAGGGUCUCCCCAGAGGUAUCACGUGUGACGGUGAAGGAGCCACCAGCCUGAGACUCCCACACGUACUGCUCAUCAUCGUUGUGCUUGGUGGUCACAACAACUCUCUCAGCAACAAGGUAGGCAGAGUAGAAACCAACUCCAAACUGCCCAAUCAUAGACACAUCAGCACCAGCAGCCAGAGCCUCCAUGAACUCCUUUGUGCCUGACCGUGCAAUGGUACCAAGGUUGUUCACGAGGUCUGACUUGGUCAUACCAAUACCACUGUCAAUGAUUGUCAGAGUGUUGGAGGCCUUGUCAGGAACAAUGUGGAUGAACAGCUCUGGCUGGGCAUCGAGCUUGCUCUUGUCCGUCAAGCUCUCAAACCUGAUCUUGUCCAAGGCCUGUCAAAACGCACAAAAAUAAUAGUUCAGGAUUAUUAGGUCAGAAUAGGGUAAUCAGCUAUUUAGAUUAGCACCACUAAAUACAAUUAACCGCUACACGAUCAAUUUAAUCAAGUAGCUGUGAACCACCUACUACAAAGCCUUCUACCUUCCCAACAUAAACCGACCCUUCUAUCUAGCAAGACUAGAUAAAUUUUAUCAAUACCAAUCAUGCUUUCAUUUGUACAUUCUAGAUGAGCACUGAAAUAAACACAAUUAACUGCAUAACACACAAUCAACUUAACCUAGCAAAGACUAUAUUUAUCAAGACCAGUCGCGCUUUCACAGUUCUCACUGGCGCAUCAGAUCGUUCAGAUUAGUUAUCAACCUUGCAAGUACAUAUGCCACAGACACAACCGAGAUCUAACAAAAUUAUGAGCUAAUUUACGACUUCAAAAGUACAGGUUCACAUGCCGCGAAUUUAAGCUGAACAGUCAACGACGAACUAGGACAGAACCCUACAUAACCCCCCAUCACCAGAUCCGAAGUACGAUGCGAAAACAACGAUCUAUAGAACGACGCUAGGGUUUAGCGUACAGAUCUAGAACCGCAAACAGAAGAGCACGAGCGGGACCAGGUGGGGAACUUACAUCGGAGGAGUUGGAGAUGAGCUCCCGGAGGAAGAUCUCCUUGUUGGAGUAGAAGGUGUUGAUGAUGAGGGAUAGGAGCUGGUUGAUCUCCGCCUGGAAGGCGAACGUCUCCGUCUCGGAGGCCAUGGCGAAGCUUUCACGAACGCGAGGGGAGAGAGAGGCGGCGGCGGCGGCGCUUUGGGGGGAGGCAACGAGGGUUUGAGGCGAACCGAGGGAGCGUUGGGUUGGUCCUGGGGGUGGGGGGACUUAUAUGGAGGGGAGACAAGGGGUUCUGGAAUGUUCUACGAGAGACGGGAAGGGGUGGAGGGCGCGGGGAGCGGGUUGACACUGACUUGCCGAUGGGCCCGAAGUCUUCCGGGCCCGGCAGUGCCGGGGCUGAGUUCCUUCUUUUGGCCCGACGAGCCAGUGGCGUUGUGUCUUUGACUCUGUUUUUUUCAGACUGGUUCUAGAUCGAGCUGGGUUUGGAGCAUGAUUGCCUUACGAUUAACGGGCAGUUGGCAGGUCCAUCUACGAGCUCGUGUAUUGCUCACUAACUAUCGUAGUACGCACGAAAGGUUUUUUUUUGAAGGUCAACGGGGGAGUGCCCCACCUGAUUUCAUUAUAGGGCCUGAAGGUCGGCCAAAUGCAAGUACAUUAGAUCUUAAGCAAAAAAUAGGGCGGGGGAUGGAGAUUACAUUAGUUUACAUUGAACAAAAAAGUAAACACCAGGCAUCCGCUAUCUGACGAUCCUCGACCUUUAGUCGGUGGCUCCAUAGCCGGGCUUCAUCGCGGCAUGCGAGCCAGAAGCGCCCAAACGACGGGGUAAUGUUCUGGAAAACAAGCUCAUUGCGGGAUUUCCAUAGCAACCAACAGAUGAGAAGAAUGAAACUGGAGUAGUGGCGCCGCGGCACCGUCGUGGGGCGGGGAAUGUUCCACAGACAUCGAACCGAGACCUCAGUUGUAUCCGCGGACAGCGCCGACCAGACUUGAGCAGCAAAGCGGCAGUGAAGGAUCAGGUGAUCGCAAUCUUCUGGCUGGCCACAUAGCGCACACGCCGGGUCAGAGAGGAUGUGCUUCUUGACAAGAUUUGCACGGCAAUCCAUUCCUGAACCAUCAGCCAGGCGAAGAAAUACACUCGAGGGGGUGCUCGGUUGGACCAAACGAAUUUGGCAAAGUUGCAGGUAGGGGACCCGGUUGCUUCCAUGAUCUUAUUGUAGGCAGCACCAGAUUGGAAGGGCGCGUUUGGCGGGGCCAAAGUGCUGUGCCGUUGGUCUUCAGCACUGCUCAGGGCAAUAUGGCCAAUCCUGAGGUUCAGGUCGGCCAAUUCAGCAGCAGCCGCAUGGGUCCGCCUGGGCAUUAGGUGCCUGGGGAUCCCGUCGGCAAUGACCUGCGACACCGAGGCUUCCGGUUGUGUAGCAUGGGAGUACAGAGCGGGAUACAGUGCAGCCAGACGGCCAGCAGAUAGCCAUCUGUCAUGCCAGAAGCUCGUGCUCUCGCCAUUGCCAACUUCAGAGCUCGUGACAACACGGUAUAGCGGUAGCAUGCUGCCCAGUGCUGUCCAAUGGACACCUUCCAGGGUUCCUUGUAGCGAGGCUAGAUCAAUUCUUUCACGUACCCACCGCGCCUAGGAGGACUCCCCGGGCCGGAAGAUGCGGUGUAGAAGCUUCAGCAGCAAACUUUGGUUCUUCGCGCCAAGCUCCGUGAUGCCUAGCCCCCCUUGCUCUUUCGGCUGGCAGGCAUGUUCCCAGGCGACAAGACACUGAGCACCACUGACCGUAUCCUCUCCAUCCCAAAGAAAACUUUGUCGUCGAUGGUUUAAAGCAUCCACCACGCUAGGGGGAGGAGGAGGAGAAUGGACAUUGCAUACGUCAACUGGCUAUCCAUGACACUGUUUAUCAGCACAGCUCGCCCCGUGGAGUUGAGAAGGCAGGCGCGCCAUCCAUUGAGCCGUCGAUCUGCCCGGGCAAUCAGAGGGGUGAAGGCCGAGAGUUUGAGCUUCUCAUUUGAUAAGGGGAGACCCAAGUAAGUUUGAGGAAACGAGCCAAGUUGGCAACCAAGGACCUGCUGCAAGGCAGUUACCAGAUGUGUGUCAACAUUCAUAGGAACCAUUGUGCUUUUGCCAAAGUUUAUGUGCAACCCAGUGAGAUCAGAGAAAUGUUCCAGCACUCGCUUCAGGGCCACCACACUAUCACGGCCGGCCUGCAAGAGGAUCAAUGUAUCAUCCGCAUACUGUAACACCGGGCACAGUUGGUCAGAGCUGGCCGGGUGGAGUAUCAUGCGGUCUUGCUUGAUCAUUUGCUGGAGCACAUCUGAAACGAGCAGGAACAGGUAAGGAGACAGUGGAUCACCCUGUCGAAGACCGCGUUUGCAGGGAAACCAUGGCCCAGGCACUCCAUUCAUCAGCACCGCUAGCUUGGAGCUGUGCAGCAGCGAGAGGGUCCACGCAGUCCAUUGCGCAGGGAACCCCCGAGUGGCGAGAACGGCAGCCAGGCAGCGCCAAUCGACUGAAUCAAAUGCUUUUGCAAAGUCCAGCUUCAGGACCACAGUACGCAGUUUUCGUUUGUGGCAGCAUUGGAUCAACUCAGUUGCAUAGAUGAAAUUUUCAGAGAUUGAACGCCCCUUGAUGAAGCCUGUUUGGUCUGGGUCAACCAGCUUGGAGAUCUGACACUAGAGCCGUGAAGUCAUCAUUUUGGAGACUAUCUUGAGGGAGCAAUUUUGCAGGCAGAUCGGCCUGUAGUCGCCCGGCGACAUCGCUGCCUCAUUCUUCGGUAUCAUGACAAUAUAGGCACGGUUGAUACACUCGAGCUCGGCAGUCCCUUCCUAGAACGCCUGCGUGAGCGCCAUCACCGUGUGCCGUACUGUGUCCCAAGCAGCGGCAUAGAAGGAGGGGCCGAACCCGUCGGGGCCCGGUGAGCUUGUCCUGUUCAUCGCGCGGACAGUAGCUCGCGCUUCACUUUCGGUGAAGGGAGCAAGGAGCGGCGCGCUCGCCGCGCGCGGCAAGCCUGAGUACAAGGAUGCGAUGUCGACCCCGCUCAGGUUCACCGCGCGCUCGUCAAGCAAGCUCCGGAGGUGUACCGUGAGAGCUGUCAUCUUCUCCUGGUGUGAGCUCAGCACCACCCUGUUGAUGUUUAGGGCACGGAUGUUAUUCCGGCGCAGCCGGAGGGUGGCCUGCGCGUGGAAAAACUGCGUGUUCGCAUCGCCUUCCCGCAUAGCGCGGAACUUGCCACGUUGUUUCCAGAACGCGGCCCGUUCGCGCAGCACCAGUGCAAGCCUGCCUUGACACGCCUGACGCAGCAGCGCUUCGCCUGGAGAAAGACAGCGGAAGUCUUCGAACACAUCAAGCAAAUAUAUGACAAAUUUACAGUUGGAGGGGAGAGCGGGAGGAGCGCGCUUACAUCGCGCCCAGGCCUUAGACGCACAGCGGACUGUCUUGAGCGCAUGAGCAAUCGCGCUAGCCGCAUCAGAGUCACCGUUCUGAGCCCAAGCUAGCAGGAUGGUAGGGAGGUAGUUUAUAUCCUUAAGCUAGGAGUUUUCAAAACGGAAGACGUUGGCUUUCGGGAUAGAGGUGGACAUUUGAAGGAGGAGAGGGGUGUGAUCAGAGGUGGGUUUUGGUAAGGAACACAGGGAGGAGUUCGGGAAGGUUGUGCUCAUCGCUAGGUUGAAGAGAGCGCGGUCGAGGCGGGUGAGAGUAGGGGAAUCGCGGUGGUUGGACCAGGUGAAAAGGCGGUCUAGGAGAGGCAGGUCAAGGAGGGAGAGCCCGUCGAUAGUAGCAUUGAAGGCAUCGCAGAGGGCGUGAUGGGAGGAGCCGUUGCUGUUUUCUUGGCCACUCCUAGUUAGGUUGAAGUCUCCCACCAACGCCCAGCUCCCAGUAACGUGCUGGGCGAGUUCAUGCAGGUCUUCAAGGAAGGACAGAGAGUCGCGAUGGUCCGCGGGAGCAUAGACGUUAGUAACAGCGAAGGAGUAGUUUGAGGCCGUGGAGGAAAGGAAAGUAGUAAGAGUAUGGCGUCGAGUGAUGAAAGAAUCUAAGGUGAACAUCGACGGAUCCCACGCAGUGAUUAUUCCACCACGCGUGUCUGAAGCAUCAACACAGCGGAAGGCGGUGAUGGUUGGAGGCAGGAAGGAACGAGCUUUGAGGCCAUCCAGGCCACGCAGCUUGGAUUCCUGUAACAUACAAUGCUAGAAUGCGAGGAGGAAAUAGAGUCCUUAGCAACAGUGCACUUGUGCGGAUCUCCGAGGCCAUGAACAUUCCAGGAUAGAAGGGAAAAGGAACUCAAACUAAGAUUCAUAGGUACGAUUACAACACCAGAACAGGAGCAGAAGAACAUCAACUAAAGGCACAAGACAAAGAGCUAAGACACUGGAAGACCAAACACUAGAGCCAUGGCGAAGUAACAUCAGAAUCACACAGGCGGCAGAUAACUGGUGUUUCUGCAAAGAGCGGGCAAGCAGCAGAAACAAGCACAAGCCUUCUUGAGUUCAGGCAUCAAGAGCAUCAAGCACCUUGUUCAGCUGAGCGGUAGUGGCCUUCCCGAUAGCAAGGACCCAGUACAGAGCCUUGGCCGUCUCCUGACCGAGCCCAAUAGCAUCGGCAAGCUUCACUAAGUCCGCUCCAGAGAUUGGCUUCUUCUUCCUCGUCAACAGCUUCUUCUUGGCAACAUGGGCUUGAACUGCAGACGAACAGAGCGCGAGGCUAUCACGGAGAGCUUUGAGCUGGGCUGCUUUGGAAGUGGCAUCCACGAAUUUUCCAUCUUCUUUUGCUGCCAGGCGGGCGCUGUGGCGUUUGCGGAGGGGUGGGCGAGAUGGGCAGCGGGGGGGCGCAUCUGAUGUUGCAGGUGGCGGGGUUGGAGGGGAGGGCGCAGCAGUGCCGAGAGGUGGCAUGGGAGAGUGUGCUGGCAACGGCGUGUUGGGAGGCGUGGGUGGCAGGCAUGGCUCAGGCGCAGCGGGGCGCCAGGUAAGGAGCGGGACCGGUCUGGCGCCAUAGCUCCCCAGGUCUCCGCUGGUGUCUGUGGGGGGUAACUGGAUCAGGAUGGGGAAAGCGGGCAGGGGCGGUAGGGGUAAAGGAUUUAUGAAGCCGUGGCAGAGGAUGGAGGCGCCAGUGAACGAAGCUGGGUGUAGCGGCGUGGGAUGCCGCUGCUCGGGCGGGUAUGCGGCUGGUGGGGGCGGAGGCGCUGGGUUGUUAGGCGGCAGAGGGGGGUGCAGGUCGUUGUUUUGAGGAGGUGGCAGUGGUGGCGGAGUUGGGCCAAAGAACGGGAUCUAGUCCCCCGCCUCGUCGAACUGCUGCUCGCGCGGCCAGAAGGUCAGACCGCCCAGGCGCAGAACGACACCGCGGCCGCUCGGGGUGUGGACUCCGAGGCGGCUGGGGAGAUGAGGGUGCUGCAGCUCAAUCACCACACGCAUGCAGGAACGGUCGAAGCCAGGGCUGCAAAAGGGAUCCACUUCCACAAGGGUACCGACGCAGCGUAGGAUGUCACGCACCUGCUCGACCGACCAGUGCUCAGGAGGCAGAUUCCAGAUGGCAACGUGCGCAAGCCACUCUGGCUCACGAACGAAGCGAUCAUCAGUUUCCUCCGCGCGCUCAAGCGUGACAGUGGCGUCGUUAAUAUGCACCGGCUGCACGUCCAUUGCCAUCUCCCGCGCCGCGGGAGAGCCAAAGUGCAGCAGCGCCACGCCACGCGGCGACGGGAGCAGCUGGAAGCGCAUGUGCGGCGCCGCGACAUGGAGCGCGGCGUGGAUCAGAGGGGAGGGGGCCGCUGCAGCAGCCAGGGGGUCCACGUAAACAAAGGCAAAGCGGGAGGCGUGGUCCCAGUCACCUUCGUUGACCCAGACCUCCAGGUAGUCGGGGCCGUCGUCGAAGGCGUCGUUGUCUACCGACUCCUCCUCCAGGGCGCUGUUGGCCUCGCCGUUGGACAUGCUCGCCGAAGCGUUGGACGCGCCCCUCCGCGGAUACACUGGGUCCACAGGCGCAGCGAGUCCCGGCGGCGGCGUCAGGGGAGGCGAGCACCCGGGGACGGGCGUGUUGGCACCAGACGCGCGACGCGGAGAGGCGACGCCAACGACACGGAUGUCGCGUGCUUUAGGAAUGGCACGCGACGCGCGGAGCUGGGGGGAGGAGGGUUCACCAAGCGCCACGCGCUUGCCCUUGUCCAGGGGCUCGCGGAAGAGGUCACCGAGGUAGAACGGCCCCUCCUCCGUGGCAAGGUGGCGCGGUUCAGCCACACGCUCCGCGACCGCGGGGGCAUGGCUUGUGGAGGCAAGCAUACGCAGCAGGUCGAAGGCCGUGGUGAAAGGAGGGAGGUUGAGCGGGGUGGGCGGAGGCGUUGGCGUGGCGGAAGGCGGAGGCGAACUGCGGGGGAGGAAGGGGACCGCGUUGAUUGGCACACGUGACGCGGGGAGUGGGAUUGUGGGACGGCGGCGCGGGUGGGGAGUCUGCUCACGUGGGAACGCCAUGGGGCAAGCGUAGCCGCGGUGCCCAGACCCACGACAAAAGCGGCAGCGUAUAGGAUCUCUACAGUCCCGAACGCGGUGGUCGCGAGAAAGACAGCGAUGGCAGCCGCCGUGGUGGAGGGGGAUGGGUUUUUGUUUGGAAAAAAAAAAGAGAGUCCAGUAUAAGGUGUUUUCAGCUAGAGAAAACUUUGCGUUUGGAAGCACUAAUAGUAAGACUAUCGUGAUCACAAUAAUUUUCAAAUUUCGUGGAAUUUAUCCUCCCUUUUAGCAUCGGGAGAGAGUAGACCUUGUCUCCUUUUUUUAUGCAACUUGCAGGGGAGUUUAUGAAGGGAAUAUAGGUGUAGUUAACUACUAACUUACUAGGUUCGCAAAACAAACUACUAACUUACUAAGUGACUACUGUCCAAUUGUCAUAUGCUUGCUUUCAAAAGUCCAAAAAAACUGCACCGAUAAUGAAGAUACAGAAUGGCGAGUGAUGCGUUCAGUCAAACACAUUCAGAUCGCGGCAGAACUCUUGUUACCACAUGCAGCUAUAAACCAAUUUUAAUGUGCGUCCUUUUUAGCCCCUGCAGUUUUUAUGGGUAUCCUCGAAAAAAAGCAAAAGAAAAAAUUAAGGCAAUGAUAGGGUAAACUUAUUUUGCAACAGAUUGUAAUUCAGCAUAUUUAUUGCUGGAUGCUAAGUUGCUGACAAAAAAAGAGGAAAAGCGAAAAAUUAUCCUUUUCUUUGCAGAGCGAACGGAAUCAAUACCCUGAUCCUGAAACCGGGGGACCAGAUGGAACAGCCAACGCCCAACAGGAGAUAGUUAAUUCUAUUUUCCAAUUCUGUAACUUCAAGUAAUAUGUGCCUUAGUAGAUCUGCUAUAACACGUUUCCUUCUUUACCAACUAUAUUGAUCCAUUCAGCAGAAAAUUUUAGCUACUUUUAAGUUGUUCUAUAUCUGUGCGAAAUUGUGUGCUAUUCUAGGGCUCUAUUAAAUAUGAGCCCGUUCGGUAGAGAUUGCUGCUGCAACGCCGCGACUGCAGCUGCAAUAGCCAAGCAAGCAUUCUGAGUCUGAAUUGUGGACCUGCUGUCCCGUGCAGGCGUGCAGCUGCAGCUGCUUAUGCAGCCAGCACAAACGAACAGCAGCUAUAAAGCUAUGUUAACCCAUUUACCCCACAACUACUCCACACAUCUGGGUAAUGAUUAUGUCAGCUAUUGGAAUGAAAAUGGAGCUUAUCAUAUACACAUAAAAGCAAUCACCUACCUAUCAUUUCAAUUUUUACACCUUUUUGGUUUUAAGCAAUGAUAGUUGUUUACUAAGUUUGAUCAAGCUUAUUGGCACUUUUCAGCUGAGUGUUUAAAAGUCAGACACCAUACUGAGAUUGAAUAAUACAUAAAUGCAUGGAGGAUUGCUCUUUAACAAAAUGUAAGUUUGUUCUCUGCUGCGAAAUGGUCUCUAGCUUAGUGGUUAGAAUGCCUAAGUAGUACUAGUAAGCCUGGAUUCAACUUCCCGUGGAAGCUAAUUAAAUGGAUCUAGAAUAAAAAAAAUAGGAAGGAGUUUCCCCUUCUGACUACGAGGACAUAUGCGUUUUCCUUGAAAGACUCUUUAUAUGGUGUAUUCCUAAUCUUUAGAUUGUGACUGUUUAAUGGAUGAGACCGACGCGUCUCUAUGACAUGAUUGUUGUAACUAUUGUAACAUUUUAAGUUCUUUCAUCUCAUUUGUUGGGUACAUACAUGAAUGAUGAGUUUGUUUUUGGAUGACGACUGUUGUGCUAAUUAGAUAAGCUAAUUAUACUUUUUUACAUAAAAAAGCUACUGAUUCUUGGCAUCACAAGUUUGAAGUACCGUUUUCCUGCAUCAUCCGCUGCAUUUAGAAAACCCCUUUUUUUAGAGGAUCCCCUCAAUAUCUCCAGCGCACUGGAUACAGGCGCGGCGAAGCGCGCUGAUCAUCCUAGUUAUUAAUAGUCCCCGUAACAUUGCCCCCCGAGUUUGCGUGUCAGCAUGUCACAAUGUGCUACACUGCUAGCACUCUUGAUUCUAUCUUGUGCAUAUUCUUGUUGGAUUCACAAGAUCAGAUGCACACAGAUUAACCAACAAAUCUUUUUUCUGUAAGAUAUCGAGACCACUGCCUGGUAAUCACUGCAGAGGCCGGGGCAAAUUUUAUUAACCUGCCGGAUUGCAAAACCACAAAACACGCAAAUGCCCUAAUUAAUUCAAAUCAACUAUUAAAAUAAUGCGGUGCAAGUGAAAGUAAAACGGAUAGAAGCUUAAGAAAAAAGUGACACGAAAAACAGAAUGCAAACGAGAAGAAACAGAAGUUAGAAGAUAACAGGAUAAUAAUAAUGCUACUAUACCACCGACAACUAACGUACGCAGUUCGAUAACCCUAGCACCACGCAUGCAGAUGCAGGCUAGGAAAAGUAGCACCCCACAAAAUAAACAAAAAACUCAAGGUUCAGGAAUAACCAGAAUAACUAAGCUCUCGACUCGAGAAAACCACCAAGCAGCGCUUAGUCGACCUCCUCCAUCUUGCUCUCACCGGCAUCGUCCUCAAGAGGGGGCAUGUCACUGUCAGCCUCCGGGGUUUCGUCCUCGUCGAUGCUCAGGCCUAGCUUUAGCAUUCGGUGGAUGCGGCUGCCAAAGGUGUUGGGGUCAUCGAGGCUGAAGCCAGAGGUGAGGAGCGCAGUAUCAAACAGCAGCAUGACAAGGUCCUUAACAGACUUGUCGUUCUUGUCAGCCUCAGCACGCUUGCGGAGCUCAUCCAUGAUGGCGUUCUCAGGGUUGAUCUCCAUGGUCUUCUUGGAGGACAUGUAUCCGGACAUGCUGGAGUCCUUCAGCGCCUGGGCCUUCAUGAUCCUCUCCAUGUUGGCGGUCCAGCCAUACUCACCAGUGACCAGGCAGCACGGGGAGUCCACCACACGGUCAGAGACCACCACCUUCUCAACCUUGUCACCCAGAACCUCCUUAAUCACCUUGCAGAGGCCCUCAAACUUCUCCUUGAGCUCCUCCUGUCUCUUCUUCUCGUCCUCAGUCUCAUCCAGCUUCAGGCCCUCCUUAGUGGCAGAGACGAGUUUCUUGCCCUCAAAUUCCUUCAGCUGGCCAAUGGCAUACUCAUCAAUUGCAUCAACCAUGUACAGGACUUCAUAGCCCUUCUUCUUCAGCUUCUCAAGGAAGGGGGAGUUCUCCACAGCCUUCUUGCUCUCACCAGUGAUGUAGUAGAUGUCGCUCUGGCCCUCCUUCAUCCUUGUCACAUAGUCCUUGAGGCUAGUCAGCUCAUCACCGCUCUUGGUGGAGUGGUACCUCAGGAGCUCAGCGAUCUUGGUCCUGUUCUGGGAGUCCUCGUGGAUGCCAAGCUUGAGGUUCUUGCAGAAGGCCUCGUAGAACUUGUUGUAGUCCUCCUUGUUCUCGGCAAUCUCGAAGAAGAGCUCAAUGCACUUCUUCACCAGGUUCUUGCGGAUGACCUUGAGGAUCUUGUUCUGCUGGAGGGUCUCACGGGAGAUGUUGAGGGGAAGGUCCUCAGAGUCAACGAUGCCCUUGACAAAGCUCAGCCACUCUGGGAUCAGCUCCUCACAGUUGUCCAUGAUGAAGACACGGCGCACAUAGAGCUUGAUGUUGUUCUGCUUCUUCCUGGUGUCGAAGAGGUCGAAGGGGGCCCUCUUGGGUACAAAGAGGACAGCCUUGAACUCAAGCUGACCCUCAACAGAGAAGUGCUUCACGGCAAGAUGCUCCUCCCAGUCGUUGGUCAAGCUCUUGUAGAAAGCAGCGUACUCUUCCUUGGUGAUCUCCUCAGGCUUCCUCAUCCAGAUAGGUUUCUGCUUGUUGACCAAUUGCCACUCGUGAGAAACCUCCUUGAUCUUCUUCUUUUUCUUCUCUUUCUCUUCCUUCUCCUCAUCAACAUCCUCAACCUUGCCCUCCUCAUCCUUCUUAUCUUCCUCAUCCUCAUCAUCAGAAAUCUCCUUCUCAGUGGUCUUCUCAGUCCAGAGAGAGAUGGGGUAGCUGAUGAACUCAGAGUGCUUCUUGAUCAGAUCCUUGAGGCGUCGCUCCUCAAGGUACUCCAACUGCAGAAAAUAGAAGAAAAUUAUAAGAGAGUGUUCAAACUGAUGGAAUUACUCUCAGAUAUUCAAACGUCAAAAACUCAAAUAUUCAGUAGAACAGUAAAUUUAAGACAGUUAAUGAUUAUCACUGUACAUCAACUUGUUGAUAUAAUCCCAAAAUAAUGUCAUAACUAGACACACAUGCAAAACAAAAUUUCAGUUUCUCUAUAAUUAUAGUAUCUGAAGAGCAAAGUUAUUCCAAAAAAAGACUACGAUUAGAUAAAUAGCAUGCUACAUUGUUCUUACCAAUCAGGGAAAUGCGUUAUCUAACAGCAAUAUCCCAAAUGAUCCUCUAAGAGUGAAUCUAAUGUAAUCCACAUUUACAGUUAGUUAUAACAAACCAAACAUAUUGGAGCUAUAUAUGCUUUCAAUUCAGCUUCCCAACAGAUCAGCACCACAAACUAACAUAGCAUAAUGGAACCGUGUGAUUUCAACAAAGGUACGACCAAAAAGCAUCAGCUGUAUCUAAAUAAUCCUAUAAAACAGUAAAUAACUAUGGCAGCAUCACCAAUAGUAAUUAACACACCACAGGCACUAAUCCGGGAAGUUUCUGCUAUACCUGAUCAUCCUUGAGGUAGAGGAUCAUCUUGGUACCCCUGCCAAGGGUCUCCCCAGAGGUAUCACGUGUGACGGUGAAGGAUCCACCAGCCUGAGACUCCCACACGUACUGCUCAUCGUCGUUGUGCUUGGUGGUCACAACAACUCUCUCAGCAACAAGGUAGGCAGAGUAGAAACCAACUCCAAACUGACCGAUCAUAGACACAUCAGCACCAGCAGCCAGAGCCUCCAUGAACUCCUUUGUUCCUGACCGUGCAAUGGUACCAAGGUUGUUCACGAGAUCUGACUUGGUCAUACCAAUACCACUGUCAAUGAUUGUCAGAGUGUUGGAGGCCUUGUCAGGAACAAUGUGGAUGAACAGCUCUGGCUGGGCAUCGAGCUUGCUCUUGUCCGUCAAGCUCUCAAACCUGAUCUUGUCCAAGGCCUGUCAAAGCCCACAAAAACAUUCAGGGUUGGAUUGAUACAUCAUUCAGUGCUUACAAAGUAAUUAAAUGAAACGUGCACAGCUUUCACUAUUAUUAUUUAUCAGGAGGUUAUUCUGUCAGAAUAGGGUAACAAGGUAUUUACUGCACUAAACACGAGUAACCACUACACACAAUCAAUUUAACCAUGUAGUUGUUGAAGCACCAACUACAAAGCCUUCUACCUUCCCAGCAUAAUCCAUUCUGACAUAGGAAGACCAGAUAAAUUUAUUUUGUCAAGACCAAUCAUGCUUGCAUUUGUACAUUCAAGAUUAGCACUGCAAUAAACACAAUUAACUGCAUCAACACGCAAUCAACUUAACCAUGUAGCUGUUGAAGCACGUACUACAAUAAACCAGCCUAGCAAAGAUUACAUUUAUCAAGAUCAAUCACGCUCUCACGGUUCUCGCUAGGGUUUCAGAUCGUUCAGAUUAGUCAUAAACCUUGCAAGUACAGAUGCCACAGACACAGCCGAGAUCUGACAAAAUUACUAUUUACGACUUCAGAAGUACAGGUUGAUAUGUCGUGGAUUUAAGCUGAAUAGUCAACCACGAACUAGCACAAAACCCUAUAUAACCCCCUAUCACCAGAUCCGAAGUACGAUGCGGAACCCACCGAUCCAUUGAACGACACGAGGGCUUAGCGCACAGAUCUAGAGCCGCAAACAGAAGAGCACGAGCGGGUAGGGGGGAAACUUACAUCGGAGGAGUUGGAGAUGAGCUCCCGGAGGAAGAUCUCCUUGUUGGAGUAGAAGGUGUUGAUGAUGAGGGAGAGCAGCUGGUUGAUCUCCGCCUGGAAGGCGAACGUCUCCGUCUCCGAGGCCAUGGCGAGACCUUGCUUCCGAACGCGAGGAGAGGGCGGCGGCGCUUGGGAGGAGGCGACGAGGGUUUGGGGGAAACCGAGGGAGCCUGAGAUGAGAUGGGGAGGCGGCCAGGCGGGUGCCCUGUGGGGUGAUAUAUUGGGGGCGGGUUGACUGACUUCCCGUUGGGCCGAAGUCUUCUAGGCCCAGCCGUGCUGGGGCUGGAGGCCCCGUGGCCCACGAGUCAGUGGGCGUUGUGUCUUUCUUUUUUCAGACUUGGAAGGUUCUAGAGCGAGGUGGGUUUAGAGCAUGAUUUACCUUACGAUUAACGGGCAGUUGGCAGGUCCAUCUACGAGCUCGUGUAUUGCUUGAUUUACGAAAGGUUUUUUGUUUUGAAAAAAAUAAUGAAGAGUCCAGUAUAAGAUUUGCACGAACUUUUUCUCGUGUUUUGAGUUGCGUUUGGGAGCUUUGAUAAUACGUCUGUCGACUGUCGUGAUCGCAAUAAUUUCCAAAUUCUGUGAAAUUUCUGCUCCGUUUAAGAACGGGAGAUAGUAGACACUGUCUCUAUUUAAUGCAACUUGCAGGGAAGCUUCUGGAAGGAAAUAUAAGUGUACUUUACCAAAAGAUUACCAUCUAAUUGUCUUUCCAUUUUAGGAGUUCGUAACAACCACACUGAUAAUGAAUAUACAGAACGGCGAGUGAUGUGUCAAACAAACACAUUUCAGAUUACGUGAACCCUCCUACACACCGCUAUAAACCAAUUUUGACGUGAAUUCUUUUUAGCCCUAUGCAGUUUGUAUCCUCAGAAAAAAAAGCAAAAGAAAAAAAAAUAUAAUCAUAUAGUAGACUUAUUUUGCAAUAGCUUAUAAUUCAAUGUACUUAUAGCUGAAUGCUAAGUUGCAGACAUAAAAGGAGAAAGCGAAAAAACAAUCCUUUCCUUCGCAGCGCGAGCCUAUUCCCUGAACCGGGGGACCAGGUGGAACAGCCAACGCCCAACAUGAACGGAGCUGGGUACACGAUCCCAGGCUUGAUAGCUUUUAUUAGUAAUUUGAAUUUGGGAUGCAAAUUUUGGUUCCAUGCGCGCAAUUGGUAAAUGGUAACAUCUGGACUUGUUGCGCGCACUCCAUCUAUCGUUUACAUGUGGGUUUAAUCAAAUCUAGUGUGUAAUGGAAAAAAUAAGGUGCUCUAGCUUUAGUUUCCUCACUAUUUUGCUAGCCGGUGUACUGGCGCGGCCUAAGGUAGUAAAAUAGUAUGAAACUGCUAAUUAUUUUCUUUGAACUAAAAAUUCUAGCGGAUUAUACACGGUUCUCCAAAUCUUACUCCCCAGGUACAUGUGGUGCUGCAUCUGCUUUAGAUUUGGAGGUGCAGGCCCGCAGUCCAUCACUGAAGUAAUGAAGCUACCAAUAAAUUGUGGAUGUAUUUUGAUAGGCAAAAAGUCUUCCGAAGUAUAUAUUGGCUCCUAGUUUCUCUUGCAACAUUUUGGCAAUCGCUACUAAGUAGUUAAUCUCAUCAUCAAGACAAUCUAUUGAUGUUACUUUAUUACUGCACUAAACGUGAUUUGACUGAGGUUAGUAACUUUUCAUGGAUUAAAAUAUGCCUUGCAUUCAUAAAUAGAGGGAGUAUCAUCUGAACCACAACUCCUAUUGUCUCCAGUUUGUUGGCCAUCACAUUCGAGUAAUAAAACUAUGUGUGUUAUUAGAAAAUAGUUCUGGUAACACUGAUGAAAAUUGCUGCAUCCUUGCAUAUUACUUUGAAAAUGCUAGUCAUACAUUGUAGAACCCAUAAUUCAUCUAUAAAGUAAAUGUUACGUCAGAUAUUAUACUCUAUCCAGCCCAAAUUAGUAUUAGCUGUUUUGAUUUUUCUAAAUUUAUAAAUUUUAUUAUGCACAACCGAAAUGAUUAAUAAUUUAGGAUAGAGGAGCCCUAUGUUCAUAUAUAAAGUACUUCAUUAAAAUGGCUAAGUUUAUUGCAUCAUGGUGCUACCACACUCUAAUUUUAUAUGUUAAGUACUACUACCCACUUUUUUAAUGGUUUGUAUUACCUUUUUUAUAUGAAAUACUCCCCAUUAACAUGGCUAAUGCACAUCAUUGCUGGAUUUACACGAUCAUAUGCACACUGAUCAGCCACCAAAUCUUUUUUUGGUGUAACAUAUCCACAUACAAUCACAAGUGCAGACCACUGCCUAGUGGUAAUCAACGCAGAGGCUGGGGCCAAAUUUUAUUAACCUCUCGGCUUGAAAAGCCACAGCUGAAUCCGCAAAACUCGCAAAUGCCCAGUUAAUUCGGAUCAACUACUAAAAAAAUGCACUGCAAGUGAAAGUAAAGUGGAUAAAUUGAGCUUAAGAAAAGAAAGUGAUACAAAAAUAGGGAUGAAAUUUGCAACAGAAAAUCUCUAACUCAUUUACCACCUACCAGAGCACGUUUGAAAUUGUUUUCAUAUAAAUAAUAUCAUCUCCAAUAACCAUAUUAAAUGAGUUUUUCAAUUUCUUAUUAGUUGCCACUGAUUAGUUUAAUACUAGUGAAACCGGCAAAAUUUCGGUUAAUCCUUUAUGUAUAUUAUCGUUACCGACCGUUUCCUAAAAGAACAGAUUGCAAAGCGAGAAAAAACAGUAAUUCGAAGACAGCAGGUUAAUAAUAACACUAUUAUACCACCGAUACUUAACCUACGCAGUUCGAUAAUCCACGGCACCAUAGCAUCUAGCCCCACGCAUUGCAGGCUAGGAAAAGUACCACACAAAACACACCGACAACUCAACUUUCAGGGAUAACCAGAACAGCUAAGCUAACUCAGACUCAAAAGUUGCACCCGGGCGCGCUUAGUCGACCUCCUCCAUCUUGCUCUCACCAGCGUCGUCCUCCAGAGGGGGCAUGUCGGUGUCAGCCUCCGGGGUCUCGUCCUCGUCGAUGCUCAGGCCCAGCUUGAGCAUGCGGUGAAUGCGGCUGCCGAAGGUGUUGGGGUCGUCAAGGCUGAAGCCAGAGGUGAGGAGCGCAGUCUCGAACAGCAGCAUGACAAGGUCCUUCACAGACUUGUCGUUCUUGUCAGCCUCAGCACGCUUGCGGAGCUCCUCCAUGAUGGCAUUCUCAGGGUUGAUCUCCAUGGUCUUCUUGGAGGACAUGUAUCCGGACAUGCUGGAGUCCCUCAGGGCCUGGGCCUUCAUGAUCCUCUCCAUGUUGGCAGUCCAGCCAUAUUCACCAGUGACCAGGCAGCAGGGGGAGUCCACCACACGGUCAGAGACCACCACCUUCUCAACCUUGUCACCCAGCACCUCCUUAAUCACCUUGCAGAGGCCCUCAAACUUCUCCUUGAGCUCCUCCUGCCUCUUCUUCUCGUCCUCAGUCUCAUCAAGCUUCAGGCCCUCCUUAGUGGCAGAGACGAGUUUCUUGCCCUCAAAUUCCUUCAGCUGGCCAAUGGCAUACUCAUCAAUUGCAUCCACCAUGUACAGGACUUCAUAGCCCUUCUUCUUCAGCUUCUCAAGGAAGGGGGAGUUCUCCACAGCCUUCUUGCUCUCACCAGUGAUGUAGUAGAUGUCGCUCUGGCCCUCCUUCAUCCUCGUCACAUAGUCCUUGAGGCUAGUCAGCUCAUCACCGCUCUUGGUGGAGUGGUACCUCAGGAGCUCAGCGAUCUUGGUCCUGUUCUGGGAGUCCUCGUGGAUGCCAAGCUUGAGGUUCUUGCAGAAGGCCUCAUAGAACUUGUUGUAGUCCUCCUUGUUCUCAGCAAUCUCGAAGAAGAGCUCAAUGCACUUCUUCACCAGGUUCUUGCGGAUAACCUUGAGGAUCUUGUUCUGCUGGAGGGUCUCACGGGAGAUGUUGAGGGGAAGGUCCUCAGAGUCAACGAUGCCCUUGACAAAGCUCAGCCACUCUGGGAUCAGCUCCUCACAGUUGUCCAUGAUGAAGACACGGCGCACAUAGAGCUUGAUGUUGUUCUGCUUCUUCCUGGUGUCGAAGAGGUCGAAGGGGGCCCUCUUGGGUACAAAGAGGACAGCCUUGAACUCAAGCUGACCCUCAACAGAGAAGUGCUUCACGGCAAGAUGCUCCUCCCAGUCGUUGGUCAAGCUCUUGUAGAAAGCAGCGUACUCUUCCUUGGUGAUCUCCUCAGGCUUCCUCAUCCAGAUAGGCUUCUGCUUGUUGACCAAUUGCCACUCGUGAGAAACCUCCUUGAUCUUCUUCUUUUUCUUCUCUUUCUCUUCCUUCUCCUCAUCAACAUCCUCAACCUUGCCCUCCUCAUCCUUCUUUUCUUCCUCAUCCUCAUCAUCAGAAAUUUCCUUCUCAGUGGUCUUCUCAGUCCAGAGAGAGAUGGGGUAGCUGAUGAACUCAGAGUGCUUCUUGAUCAGAUCCUUGAGGCGUCGCUCCUCAAGGUACUCCAACUGCAGAAAAUAGAAAAAAAUUAUAAGAGAGUACAAAAUGACAGAAUUACUUUCAGAUACUUAAAUCUUCAGAAAAUCCUAAAGGUUCAGUACAACAGCAAACUUAAUACAGUUAUUAUCAGUACAUCAACGUCUUGACAUAAUCCCAAAAUAAUGGUCAGAAUUUCAGUUACACUAUACUUAAAAAUAGCAUUCCAGAAGAACACAUGUUUAUCGCGCAGUCAUUCCAGAAAAAGAAACAGACUAUGAUUAAAAACUAGCAUGCUACAUUGUUCCUACCAAUCUGGGAAACACAUUAUCUAACAGCAAUAUCUCAAAUGAUCCUACAAGAUUGAACCAACUUCUAACCUCAUCCACAUUUACAGUCAGUUAACAAACCAAACAUAUCAUAGUUAUAUAUGGUUUCAAGUCAGCUCACCGUAUCAUCAGCACAAACUAAUAUUGCAUAAUUGAACCAUGGCCAAAAAGCAGCAGCACUAUACAAAUAAUCUUAUAAAACAGUAAACAACUGGCUAUGGCAGCAUCACCAAUACUAUUAACACACAGCAAGCACUAAUCCGGGAAGUUUCUGCUAUACCUGAUCAUCCUUGAGGUAGAGGGUCAUCUUGGUACCCCUGCCAAGGGGCUCCCCAGAGGUAUCACGUGUGACGGUGAAGGAUCCACCAGCCUGAGACUCCCACACGUACUGCUCAUCAUCGUUGUGCUUGGUGGUCACAACAACUCUCUCAGCAACAAGGUAGGCAGAGUAGAAACCAACUCCAAACUGACCGAUCAUAGACACAUCAGCACCAGCAGCCAGAGCCUCCAUGAACUCCUUUGUGCCUGACCGUGCAAUGGUACCAAGGUUGUUCACCAGAUCUGACUUGGUCAUACCAAUACCACUGUCAAUGAUUGUCAGAGUGUUGGAGGCCUUGUCAGGAACAAUGUGGAUGAACAGCUCUGGCUGGGCAUCGAGCUUGCUCUUGUCCGUCAAGCUCUCAAACCUGAUCUUGUCCAAGGCCUGUAAAAGCCCACAAAAAUACAAGUUCAGGGUUGGAUUCGUACAUCAUUCAGUAUAUAGAAUAUAAUAAAGUGCUUAGAAAGUAUUAAAUGAAACUUGCACAGCUUUAACUAAUAUCUGGAGGUUGCUCUGCCAGAAUAGGGUGACCAGCUAUUUAUAUAAGCACUGCACUAUAUAAACAUGAUUAACCGCUACACAAUCAAUUUAACCAUGUAGUUGUUGAAGCACCCACUACAAAGCCUUCUACCUUCCCAGCAUAAACCAACACUCUUAAUCUAGCGAGACUAGAUAAAGUUUAUCAAGACCAAUCAUGCUUUCAUUUGUACAUUCUAGAUUAGCACUGGAAUAAGCACGAUUAACUGCAUCAGCACACAAUCAACUUAACCAUGUAGCUGUUGAAGCACGUACUAAACAAAACCAGCAUAACAAAGACUACAUUUAUCAAAAUCAACCACGCUUUCACAGUUCCCACUAGGGUAUCAGAUCGUUCAGAUUAGUCAUAAACCCUGCAAGUACAGAUGCCACAGACACAACCGAGAUCCGACAAAACUAUGAUCUAUAUUUUUACUACUUAAGAAGUGAUAUGCCGCGGAUUUAAGCUGAAUAGUCAACGACGAACUAGUACAAAACCCUACAUAACCCCCCAUCACCAGAUCCGGAGCACGAUGCGGAACCCACAAUCUAUUGAACGACGCUAGGGUCUAGCGCACAGAUCUAGAACCGCAAACAGAAGAGCACGGUCGGGGUCAGGGGAAACUUACAUCGGAGGAGUUGGAGAUGAGCUCCCGGAGGAAGAUCUCCUUGUUGGAGUAGAAGGUGUUGAUUAUGAGGGAGAGCAACUGGUUGAUCUCCGCCUGGAAGGCGAAGGUCUCUGUCUCGGAGGCCAUGGCGAGACGUUACUUCCGAACGCGAGGAGAGGGCAGCGGUGCUUGGGAGGAGGCGACGAGGGUUUGAGGGGAACCGCGGAAGCGUGGGAUGGGACGAGAUGCGGAGGCCUGUGGGGGUGGGGGAUUUAUCGGGGAGGGGAGAGGAGGGGUUCUGGAAUGUUCUACCAGAGACGGGAAGGCGUGCUGGCCGCGGGGGGUGGGUUGACUGACUUGCCGUUGGGCCCGCAAGGCGUACGGGAGGCGUCCUGGCCCACGAGUCAGUGGGCGUUGUGUCUUUGUUUUUUCAGACUUGGAAGGUUCUAGAGCGAGGUGGGUUUGGAGCAUGAUUGCCUUACGAUUAACGGGCAGUUGCGAGCUCGUGUAUUGCUUGCUGACUAUCCUACGCACGAAAGGUUUUUGGUCCAAGGUUUGCACGAUGCACCGUUUUUCUACAAAUCCCUUUUCGAAAUCGGCAUGUUAUUGGUAAAAAAAAAAAAGAAAUCGGCAUGUUUUCAGCCAACGAAAACUGUCGUGAUCGCAAUAAUUUCCCAAUUCCGUGGGAUUCCUCCCUUUUCGCGGCGGUAGAGAGUAGUAGACCCUGUCACCGCGCUAUGCAACUUGCAGGAAGCUUCUAGAAGAAAGCGCGUCGGUGUAGUUUACCAAGCAACUACCGGCCAAUUGCCCUGUGUUGUCUUUCAGGCGUCCGCAAACGUCCGCAGUGAAGAUAGGGUGCGUUUGGUUGGGAGACAAUGUAGAACGGGACGGUCCCGUUCCAGUUUUUCGGGAUGGGAUGAUCCCAUUUCUUGUUUGGUUGAAUGGGAUGGGUCCGUUCUAAUUUUUUGUUUGGUUGGAGAAAUCGCUAUAGACGGGACGAGCACCGUUUUCUUCUUCUGUUAACACCGUUCGUGGGGCCCACCUGUCAUACUAACAGAUAUCUUCUUCCUCCACCGGCCGGCCGCGGUGGAGCUCGCGCCCGCCGGCCCCGCUCGCGUCCGCCGGCCGCGGUGGAGCUCCCGCCCGUCGGCCGCGGCGGAGCUCGCCCGCACCGGCCCCUCCGCCGGCGGCUCCCCCCGCCCAAACUCGCCCCCUCCACCAGUGCGGGCGGACGGCGCGUGACGGGGGUGAAGUGGGAUGCCCCCGUCCGCUCGUUUUGGUGGGAUGGGGACAUCCCGCAUCUGGAGGGUAUAUUCCCUCGUAGGGAUGUCCCCGUCCCACCUGUCCUCCAACCAAACGCGGGACGAAGUGGGAUCGUCCCAUCCCGUCCCACUUCGUUCUCGCAACCAAACGCACCCAUACAGAACGGCCAGCGAUGUGUUCUUCUUUUUUUUUUUGAAACUUCCAGCGAUGUGUUCAGACAACACAUUUCAGAUUACCGCAGAGAGAGUUACGGACGCGACUCUUUAAACAGUUUUGGCAUGCAUCCUUUUUAUUCAUCAGCCGUUUUUCAGCAAAAAAGAAGAAAAAGAAGAAGAUACAGACUGGGUAAACUCAUUCCGCGACAAAUUUAUAAUCCAGCGUGUUUAGCUCGAUGCUGACAGAAAAAAAGGGAAAGCGAAAGAAUGAUGCUUUGCUUCGCAACGCAAACGGAAUCAGUACCCUGGUCCCUGAACCUGGGGCACCAAGUGGAACAGCCAACGCCCAACGGGAACUGAGUUGGGUAUACGAUCCCACAGGCUUGAUUCUAUUCGUAGCAUGAUGCUGGAAUGCAAAUUUUGAUUGUAUGUGUUCCUGAAAACAACUGCAAUUGGUAAAAACGGUAGCAUGUUGACUUGUCACGUGCACUCCGCCUAUUGUUUACAUGCGGAUCUAAUAUAAUCUAAUCUAAUGGAAAAACAAAGUGCUUAGUUUCCUCACUGCUUUGCUAGCUGGUGUACUGGUGCAGUCUAAGGUCCAAAGAGUGAAACUGCUAUGCAUCUCCUUUGAACUGGAAAAUAUCACUUCAUCCGUCCAGCCGAUUAUACACGGUUCUCCAAGUCUUGCAACUUCCCAGGUACCCGUGGUGCUUCAUGCCUUCAUCUGCUUCGGAUUUGGAGGCGCACAAUUCUCCAAGUCUUCUAUCAAGAAACAUACUAUGAUCCUAAUCCUCGUCAUCGCUAUCGCCAUUCUGUGAAUUACAAAACGGAGUAAGGUAGUUUCUGUCGUGCAGUGAAGGAAGGUGUGCUGCAAGGACAUAAGAGGGGAAGAAAAAAGAGGUCGUAACGAUGAACUAGCAGAGUGUGUAUCAGCAACUUUGGAAAUCUUGCUCCCGGGAACAAAAGUGAUUCUAUUCUGAUGACAAAUCCAACUUUACCAUCUUUGGGUCUCUCUGAGUUUCAGCUUAAACCUGCUUGCAGUGGUACUGCCAACCUCGCCAUGUAGUUCAAUAUUGCCAACAUUCUUGCCGUUAGAACUGUCCUGCUCCUGCAGUCAACAACUCAGAGAUCAUUACCAGUCAUAUUUAUGAGCUAAACUAUGUGCCUCAAACAUAGUGCAAAUAACGCAGCCCAAAAUGUUGAGGACCACCUCAUCUCAUCAGUUAUAUAAAUUUUAACAGCAAAAAAAUAAGUCAAAAAAAUUGAAGUGCAUUGUACUGUCCCAAACCAACAACAAUUUAAUCAUGACAUUUAUGGAAGAUUGAAGAGAAACUUAAUUACGCCAGCAAUCAUCAUAGUAUAGAUAUUAUUGAAGCAAAUGUGGUGUUGGUAAAAGCUAUAUUAUUACUCCUGUCGUUUUUAAAUAUGUGAUGUUUAGGACAAGCUAAUUAGUUCAUUCCACUCUGAUAGGCAGAGUUACAGUACCAUAUAUCCUGCUUGUUAUAAAGAAAAUACCUCAAAUGGUGGAUGAUGAUCAUUAGUACUAUUCCCCAUCACAUGUAGAGCUUCAAGCAUUGUGCUUGUUGAGCCUCCAAUCGUAAGUACCCUGGAUUGGAAGGUUUUACAGUAGCAGCACCGUCAGUAGAGCCAACAUAAUUUCCUAGUUCCUGCACUGAUUUUUUCAAUAGUCGGUAAACCUCAAAAGUCCUUCUACUAUAUAUCUUCUAGUGCAGUUUGAUAUCUUACUGAUAGAACAACUAUAGAUAUGGUAACAGUCAGAAUUGUCUGGCCAUGGCCCUCAGGAAGAUCAUGAACUGACUGAAGAGCAAGUGUAAAAGCCAUUGCCCCUCUAAGCCCUGGUCAUGCAAAAAGCGACCAACACUUAACAUAACGACAGAAAUAUUAUACUUAUUAGUGAGCAUUCUUGUCAGCCUGCUUACCACUGUACCAAAGUGCUAGUUGGUGUUGCUUGGAUAUUUUCCAAUGGGGUGGCCGUACCAUAUUUAGCAAGUAGGCACACGAGAAAAUAUUUGCAGCCCUUCAAAAUAAAUGAACAUGAGAAAAGUUGCAGAGUAACUUGAGUAAACAAUACAAAUGUAUCUCCUUAUAGAGCCUACCUAGAAGCACUAAGCUCGUAAAGCUAUCUUAUUCUAAGUUCUACAGACCAUGCUGAUUUUAUUGCAAAGUCCACCGGGUGCUGUUCAGCUGUUGGAUCUUUUAUUUUCUUUUGUUUUUUUAUGACAGUGGUGCUGUCAGAGGGAUGUAUUGGAUAUCUUAGGCUGUUUGAAUUGUUAGGUUACUUUUCGUGUUCUAGCUUAUGAGAUUUUUUUUAAUAAACUAAAACCCCUCAAGGGUCUCAAUCAAUAGGAACUGAUCAAGGCUCAUUGAAAAAAUACCUCACAACUAAUAUGAAGAUCUUCAUCAGUCAACCACAACAAAUGCUAAGGAAAAAGCAAUACCAUAUCACAUAGGAAGGAUUUAUAUGUACAUUAUAAGGUAUCUUUGUUUUGAAACAUGAUGCGCAGUGCAAAACAGCAUCAGAAAAAAAAGGUGAAGGAUACAAUUGAGAAAAAUAUGAACCCAAUGUGGGACCAGCUUUGACGCUCCAUAGUAAUAUCAAAUACCAAAUAAAUGAACCUAUGUAGUGCUUAGACGUUAAUUUAAAUGCUUAUCAAAAGUUCAAAACAAAAACACAUUCUCUCUAAUACGCAGGAGAGAUGCAUAUAGUUUCUUAAAAAAAGAAAGAUAAAAAACAAAAAUACAUCCAAGUGUUAACUUACACAAAAGUUUCUGCCAAUGAUGAAAGCAGAUGGAAAAAGGCAGCAGUGAAUCGCUGGGAAUCUUGUGACAAGUUUGAAAAUGUUCAUCUCUUCAUCACCUGAAAUGAAAGUUCCAUCAUCUUGCAAGCAACUUCAGAUAAAAUGUUGAAAAAUAAAUCCAUGAGACCAUGAAUGCCUCAAUUAAGUUGCACCCACAAUUCCAGUAAAAAGUAUUGAGACUAUGCCAGAUAGACCAAAGCCUUAAGCUAGCAUGUACCUGAAAACAAAUAGUCAAUUAAUCCUACAUUCCUCAAAGGCAAACAGACAAUGAUUCAAGUAAGAUGCACUUACGAGAAGUAUGGGAAUAGUACAAACAAGCAGCUUUCCAGAUUAUGUAGGCUGAAAAAUAUAAAAUCAGAUGAGGAGGGAGGCGCUGGCCUCGUGGAUGUAGUAGAGCCUGCGGCGGCGGAGAUGGCCAAGCACGAACGCCAGCACCAGCAUCGAUAUUUGCAGCAGGAUCCCCACCCCUGCCGCCUGCUCCUCCGUCGCGGUGCCGCCGCCGCCGCCGCCAUACCCCCUCGUCGGUCGCCGCACCGCACAAACUGCAUAAGUUCCCUCCACGUGUCCCAACACUUUGGUGCCUCAUUUGAUUCGUUCGUAGCUCUGCACUCUACUAUUCUUUCUACUACUAGGAUCGUGCCCGGCGUUGCUAUAGGCUUACAACAUAAUUAAAUAAAACAAACCACCUUAACAAGAAAGAACUAUAAGAUGGACCUACAAGAAGCAAAAUAAUUAGCAUAACAAUUUAGAUGCACUAAGCUUUUUGCUCACUAAGAUUCAUCAACAAAACAAUUUUUCUACUUUGCAAAUGACACAUCCUUGUCCAUAUGCCCAAAUAUAUUACAACUUUGGUUUUUCAUCUUGACAGAAGAAAUAAUCCUAAGUCCAAUUAAUCCUUCCUCUUUGUACUUCCAAAUCAGCAAGCACAUGCCUUGCAAGUGGGUGUUCAUCUCUCAUGCAAGGCGGGGUGUGCAUCUAAGUAGUGUGGUUCCCAGAUUUUGCAUCCCUCCAGAGCUCAUCUACAUGUCUGCUGAAUGGGACAUGAUUUAGAUUUGAAGCUAAAAUCAAAUUAAUCAAGCUUCACUUAUGGAAAAGGGCUUAUCAUUUAAGAAUCUAAUAAAUCACACUGAUGAUUAUAGCUUCCAAACAUAACUGUUUGCUAGACAAAUUAGUAGCACGAAAGAUCGCAAACAGAUUUAGAGUUUGGAGCACGAUCAGUAGACUGCUGAAGAAACAUAGAUACAAGCAGGAUUUUGCAGUUGGAAAAAAAGAAUAAUGAUUCAAAACAAUGUACUUUAUGGUCAUUUAUCCUUAAAAAACAACCAGAAACUUCAUAUAUAUUGUCAGGGUUAAAAAACCAUUCUGGUAUAUAAGCCACUUUAACAACGUAAGUCCCCUGGAACAAGCAUUGAUAAGCAUGUACCUUAUCAAUCUUUGAUUAUUCUUUGUGCUUUCACAGAAAAAUAGGUACUCGAUACAAAUUUCAACAUUUAACAAGUAACAUCUUAUCUCCUAGCCCCGGUAGGUGCUCCCAAAUACAAUUUUGACUUUAACAAGUAACAUCAUAUCUCCUACCAAUUAAUGCAAGGAUGGACAUAUACUAUUAAUACCAAUAUUCACCUAAUUGUUAAGAGAUUAAAUGGUAUGGGAAAUUCAGCAACUGAUCAUGGCAACAUUGUUUAUUUACCAAAGUAUUAGAAUCCUGGAUUCAUAACUCUCCCAUGUAGUCAUUUGUAAAAUUAGUAUUUGUUACCAGACAGCCAGGCAUUCUCUAGUAUAUUUAUCCAUCAACAUAUAGCCUAUAGGCCAUUGUUCCUUAUAAACACAACAAAGCAAAUGAGCACAGCUCAGGCCUCAAGAGCAACUAAUCAAGUUCCAACAUCACUGCAAUAUCAUACUGAGACAUCUUUGGUCUAAGAAAGAACUCAUGUACAUAUCACAAAAUAGCAAAAGUUCAAUUACCGAGAGCCCUUAGCAAUUAUGUUGCCUGUUAGAUGGGAAAAACAAAUAUGAUCAAUAAUUACUGAGUUUAGCAUAGUAAAUAAAAAAAGAAUUUCUCAAACCAUUUAUAACACUUUGAACUUACAUGUUUACCUUUACCUUCACAUGAGCAUAAAAAAAUUAGAAAAAUCAAAAUACGUCUCAGGUGUUGAGCAUUCUAUAAUACAGAACAAUAUCAGGAAUCACGCAAGGUAUCUCAUCUCCAAGAAACAAGAAUAGUGCAAUUUCUAUUCAAUAUUAUAGAUAUGGCUAUGCUACUUUAAAAACAAGAAUAGUGCAAUUUUCUAUUCAAUAUUAUAGAUAUGGCUAUGCUGCUUUAAAAUAGUAACAUGUGCAAACAACAUUAUAGCAAGUUACCCUGUCGUUCACUCACAGUAUUUAAGGCACAUCAUGGCAUUAGGCCAUGAUUUCGUUAGCACUUGUAAAAACACUACUACUGGCAUGAGAACUGGGAAAUCAAAGGUUCUAUAUGAAAUCUUGCCCACGGCUGAGUUUAUAGAUACAUCUAAUAAGCUAUGAGUUAGAACAUUCAGUAAGAACAUCCAUUCAGUAAGUACACACUAUGUUGUAACUGACAGAAUGAGGAUGGCAGCUUAUAUUAGUGACAUUUAAAUUUUUGGAAAGAUGCCAUGAUAGUGUAGCAGCUGCAUUUUCAGAACAAUUUCAGGACUAUCCAUAGCAGCUGCAUUUUCAGAAUAUUUGGUUUCUAAACUAUAUCUACACACAUCAACAGUGGCAAUUGUUUUACAUGCUAAGCACUAAGCAGGCAAUACAAAAUUGAUUGUCAGACAAAGACAUGUGGGAUCAAUCAAAGAGCAGUGCUGACAGUGAAAGGAUAUUCAGUCUUGUAAGGUCCGGCUACUCAUUUAUGUAAAGCAAGAAUCAAACUUCUUACAUGAGCUGACCAAGAACAGGCUGAGUUUCCCCUCAUGCUCCUAGCUUGUUCAAAAAAUUCAGUUGCUCCUCUGAAGCCUGCACAUGACAAAUUAGUACCUAUGAAAGGAUAAUAAAACCAUCAAUUUAUAUCAGUUGCUCCUCCGAAAGUAGCAAAAAAAAAUGCACCUGCAAAUUAAGAACUUCUAAAGCCCUUCUCCUCCACCUUCUCCCAUCACUUCCAGGCACAUGAAACAAAAUGACAUCAGGAUUAUAGAAAAGAAAGUGCAGCAGGACAGACUACUUGGGAGGGUUUUAAUCACUUUUCUAUUUUUGUAGUAUGAAACCAGAAUAUUAAUAACUGGACAUAUCAUUUAAUUUUUGGGUUGCAGUUCUAACUCAAAUGAUCAUGAAGCCUUUUCUUGUUUGUUGUUGUAAUAUCCCCUUAUCCUUCCACACUUCUACAAUAAUUUCCAAUCAGGCAGUUAUUCCUUGUAGGAAUUCUUAUGAAAUUACUCCUGACAGGAAGGCAAGGCAAAAUCAAAAUUAUUAGCACACAAUUAUUGAUUAAAAUCGAAAAAACUCUUGUGUGAGCACCUUGUUUGCAAGAAUCUAAUGCAGCGUGUGCUUAGGGCUGAUGAAUGAGUCCCCUAAAAAAAUUAUAUACACGUGCUUAAAAUUUUCUAAAGAAAGAAGAACAACCAGCUACUGUAUUGAUAUUAGUGAAGUUAAACUACAGAAUGAUAUGAUCAAAUGAGACAUUCUCCAAGUGAGAAAAGGAAUUGCUCAUACCCAAACUGGUGCCCAAAAGAUCUGCUAACCGGAAUCAUCAAGCGGCUCUCAUCUAAUAUCUGUGUACAACCUCUGCAUUUGAACAGAAGGCAAAUGAAUUCACAUGUUCUGGAUGGAAGAGGAGAAUGGCCUACAGGAUUUACCAGGACGUGAGACGUGCGGGCAGCGACUGGGAGCUGUGCAGCGUAUUGGGGGCGCCGGCCGCCGUGCGAAGGACCAGGACGGGCGGCGGUGUCGCCGGAGGGCGCGAGCGAGCGGGCAGGCGAGCUUUUUUUUAUCGGGAGGUUGAGGUUGACGGGAGGAGGUUAUGUGUUUGGUUCGGAAGGCGGGAUAUACCGUUUCCCGUCUGUUUGGUGGGGGUGGGAUGAGAUGAUCGUAUUUCGUCCGAGAGAUUGGGAUGAGAUGAUUGUGUUUUUGUUAAAGAGAUUGGGAUGAGUGAUAUGGAUGAUAUUUUUGACAUUGUUAGAGCAACUCUAAGAGCUCCCUUAAAUUACCCCUAAGGAAAAAUAGGAAAAAAAAGUUGCUCCAACAGAUCCCCUAAAUCUCUCGCAAAUUUACGUGCACCCGCAUCUGAAGCUAUUUUUCUGCAAAUAUGUGCGGCGCUCCUCCUCCCCUAAUCCGCCCGCGCGCCCGCGAUUGCCACUAGCGCCUCUUUUUCUAUGCGCGCAUCAUUUUCCCGUGUGGCGGCGGCGGCGGCAGCCCCAGGCCUUCCCCGAGUAGCGGUGGCGACGCAGGCCUUCCUCGAGCGGUGGGGACGGGGGCGGCAGCCUUCCCCGAGCGGAGGCAGAGACUGGGGGGAGGACGCGGCAGGCUCAGGCGACGAGUAGACGCAGGCGAAGGUCCCCUUAGAGUCGGUGCCCAUGAGAUGACGUGAAACGGCCCGUCAUCCGAGUUGUCGUUGUAAAGCAGCGCGGCGUUCCAACUGCGCGGCAGCCGGCAGGUCCAGGUGGCGGCUGUCGCCGGCGGCGAGAGGGUCCCAAACGGCAAGGCAGAUCGCCUGCGCCGCGGCGGCCCGGUGGAGGAGGACGCGGCUGGCGUGGGCAUCGAGCACAUGCCAGCCGCGGUGGGACGCGAGUGGCGAGCACAAAGCCGCGGUGCGGACGAAGCGGGCGGAGCAAGCCUCAUCGCCGCUGGCGUGGGAGACAUCGUUGCAGAGGAAGCCCAACAUCAGGGUCGGGUGGCGGUGGAGGCCGCAGAAGCGGAGGCGGAAGGGGUGGGCCAAGACAAGGCGGCACCAGUGCUUGCAGACGAGCGCGGCGCAUACAAGGCGCGCGGGUCGUCUGGCGGGAAGCGGUGGAGGAUCUCAGCUCGUCUGGCGAGCGCAUAUCAGCGGCGGCUCCAUAGUUGGAUUCGGUUUUAGCUUGCUUUGUUCUACUGGGUCAGUCAGAGUUAGAAGCCAAGUGCAGCAGUGACACUGCACCGAGCUAGCUGACGGAGCUACGGCCGGAACCAGGCGAGGAGUUGGAACGGGGGGCUGGUUCUUGAUCAGGGUGGCUUGCAACGGGGUGUCACUGCCAUCCUUGUCCACACUUGUCGCGGAUAGUGGACGAGAGAGGUCGGUGAUGGGUGAAAUGGAUAUGAUGCGAGGAAUCGAACAGAGGUGGUCGGGAUACGACGGAUUUGGCUGGCGACGAGCUGUGCUCGAAGGAGCGAUGGAGCUCUGGAGGUAGAGGGUGGCUUUGUUCUGGAGGCAGGUCCAAUUACAAUGACGUGGCAAAUUUUGGGGAGUAGUUUUUAGCGUUCUGCUGUGACUUUACAUGUUUUUAGGAAAAAAAUUUUAGUAUAGCUUCUAAUACGUCGUUUUAGUUUAAACUCUCUUGCAGUCGCCCAUUCCGUAUGUCAUUUAAGGUCUCACGUGUGAUCCUCUGUCCAUUUCUUUUUUUUCCUUUUCCUUUUUCCCUUUUAUCUUCUCCUCGCCGGACAUCCUCCACAGCUCGAAAUCCUCCUCCACGCCAGCCUCCUCCGGUCCUCUCCCCACCGGCUGGCUCGCCGGAGGAGCUCCCGCAGUCGCGCACUGGAGCUGCCCGCCGGAAAAUCUCCAGCGGCCGCCCGCCCGAGCUGCUUGCGCCGCCGCCCGUCGGAGUCCCUCGCGGGGCCGCCCGCCGAGAAGCUCCCGCGGCCUCCCGCCCGAGCUGCUUGCGCCGCCGCCCGUCAGAGAUCCUCGCGGGGCCGCCCGCCGGAGCAGCUCGCGCGGUCGCCUGCGGUGCCCCAGGUUUUCUUUCCGCCCCGCCGUCCUCGUCCCCGGUCCCUCCUCCGCGCGCCAGCUUCCUCCGUCGUGCGGCUGGUCUCGAGCUCCCGCGCGGACAACGAAGACGGCGCAUCACGCCAUGGAUGCGGGCCGCUCGUUUUCGAGGGACGGGUCGUCCCGCGAAUAUUCGCUCGGGGACGUUCGGUUCGGACGUUUGAUGAGUAUUAAAUCUUUACCUAUUAUUAUUAAAGUAAGUAACGUUUCUGCCUGGAUUUUUCGUCCGUGGUCAUUUUGCAAAAAAAAUCCUGACGUUUCGUGAAAUCAACCCGCAGUCCACUUUGGAAGAGACGGGGGGCUCGGUUGCUAAAAAGUGCAAAGGGAGGGUGUUAAAGGUGAAAGAGCUUCUCUUUCUUAGAAACAGACAUCCCAGCGCCCGUAUCCGCCUUCCCCCUCCCUCCCCUUUCGCCGGCCAUCUUCGGGGGAGGAUGUAACGCACGCCGCCCCCCGCCCCCCGGCCCGCCUGCUUCACCCACGGAUCUGCGCCGUCGCCGAUCCGAGGGCUCCAUCGCUCCCCCCCUCUCGCCCCUCCUCCGUCCCCUUCCGCCGCCCAUCUUGUUGGAGCUCCCAAUUCGGGGGAGAAGGUAUCGCACGCCGCCGUCCUGCCCCCCCCCCCCCCCCACGGAUCUGCGCCGUCGCCGAUCGGAGGGCCCCAUCGCCCCCCCUCCUCGCUGCCUUCCCCCCCUCCCCGCAGCCUCCCCCCUGGUGAGCGGCGCGCGGGGUGGGAGAUGGACGGCGGCAUGUGGCAGCUGGGCACGGCUGGAGAAGCAUCUCCUCCUCCUCCACUUCCAGGAGGAGUCUCCCGCCCGUCGAGAAUGGCCACGGGCAUGAUGGUGCCUCCGUCGCCUCCAGGAGCUCCUCCGCCUCCAUCUCCGGGAAGUCUGCGCGGCUUCCGAUUUGGAUCUGAAUCGAGGCUGACUCGGGGCCAGACUCCAGGAGAGUUCGCUGCCCAACCGGAUCUGAAUCGAGGCGUAAUCGGAUCGGAAUCAAGGUUGCGGUUUUACCUGUAUAUACAUAGCUGCGGGGUCGGGCAUCUUGGACGUGUUUGUGCCAGACUGCCAGUAGCCCAGGUCCUCCUCGCCGUCGCGAAAGUGCUCAGCAACACGCGCAUAGAUCCCCUCCAUCGACGCCAACAACUCGUGUGGCCUAGCGUGUUCGGCUUCUUACUCUUCUUCCACAAAAGGUACGUAAGCAUUUACUUAAUACGAAGCUAUUUGGCCUUUAAAUUCUGUCAAGCUUUUUUCCCUCGUCAAGCUUUUUUCCCUCUUUGAAUUUUGGCAUGAAUCAUCAACUGCUACAUAAUAGAUGAGUUUUCUGAGUAAUUGUGAUUAUCUGGUACUUAAUCAUGAUAUUUCUGAGUUCAAGAUAACUCUAUGUAGUUUAUGCCAUGUAUUCCAUGUCUCUUUGUUCUGUCAAAGUUUUUUGGAAACAAACAUUAAUCGAUGAAAUCUUAAUUAUAAAAAGAAAUCAAUGAAAUCUUGAGUACAAAGGCUUUCCAUAAGUUUAAGGCAACACAUGUUAUUUCAUAGAAUUGUUGGAUGUGUUUUACUUAACAAAAAUCAACCUGUUAUAUCUGUCUCCCAAAUGUGUCCCAAGUCCAUUGAUCACCAAUAGUUUCCUCUUAGGCCAUGAUUCCAUUGUCUAUAUGUUUUCAAUUUUGUUACUGAAUAGAGUUUUUUCAAUUUUGCUGCUUUUGCAGAAAAUGGAUUCUUAUAACAUUGAAUCAAGCAUUGCUGAUGGUUUAGAUUCUCGACCCUUAAAGAAAGCAAAAUGUGAACAGUUGAAUGAUUGCGAUCUAUCACCAUCGCCUCCAUCAUCCACCUCUCUGGCAUCAUCAUGUGAUAACAUUGAAUCAAGCAAUGUUUAUGAUUUAGAUGCUCGACCCUUGAAGGAAGAAAAAUGUGAACAGAUGAAUGAUCUUGACAUAUCACUGUCGCCUCCAUCAGCAACCACCCUGCCAUCAUCAUCUCCGGUUAGUGUUUUUCUUGUUCAUUUAAUUUAGUGGUUUGGUUAAUGAUUUGACAUUUUUAUGUUUUUUUUUCAAGGAAAAGAUCCUUAUAUUAUUGAUUCAAUUGUAGCCGAGAAAGUGUCAUGUUCUGAUUGGAUUGACUUUGAAUCAGAUAAUGACAGAAGAAUUCUAUUAGACGACGAGAAACAUCAAAAUCAUCAUGAACAAUUCAAAGUUGAUCAAACAUAUGACUAUCUCCCACAAGGUAUGUUUCUAUGAUUUUUUUUUCACUGUGUUGUUGUUUUGAACUUUUAACAUCACCAUAAAUUUUUUGAUUACUUGCAGAUUAUGAAAUGACAGACCUGGACUACUGUGCUCUAAUAACAAUAGAAACAUCUUUGGAAUGUGAUAUACUUGUGAAGAUAGAUGACAUCUUUGUCACACAAUCUCAAUUGUCAUGCUUGCUAGAUCCAAAAAAAUUCCUAAAUGAUGAUGUAAGUACUUAAAGUGAAUGCUCUUCGAUUAACAUUUUUUUCUUUUGUAAUAAAUGUUUUUUAUUUGAAUCUUUGUAGGUCAUCAGCGCGUAUAUAUGUUGCAUAAAGUAUCAAGCCCAUUUAGAAAGUAGGAAUGAUGUUAAAUUUUAUUUUGAGAAUCCCUUUAUUUCUGUAAUGCUAAAAAGGGAUGGCAAGCUUGGUGUAGGUCAAGAUGGUAACCAUAUCACAAAGAUUGUGAGAAACUAUCUAAAGCAUGAAAUGGUAAUUUCUAUCUCUAUAAUUGACAUGUUUUAAGGUUUGUAGAUUUUAAUUUCUAACUGUUCAUGUCUUGUACUAAUUCAAUUUUUCAUUUUAGGUUCUAAUUCCAAUAAAUAUCAAAGAAACACAUUGGUAUUUGGCUAUUAUUAACACACAGAAGUGUGAAAUACAAGUACUUGACUCGUUGUGUUGGGACUCCAACCGAGGUGAUCUCGCCGAAACGGUCAGUUUCUACAGCAUUCAUACUUCUUUGAUAUUAUAAAUUGAUCCUACAUUAAAAUGUAUUUUUUCUGUUAUUAAUAAUUGAACAGCUGCAAGGACUACAAUUUCAUUUGGACAUAAUUGGAAGGCAACAAAACUUGAUUAGCCAUAACUGGAAAGACCUCCAGGUUAUUUCAUGGAUAAUCACAGAACAACUACAAGAGCCAAUGCAGAAAGAUGGGUAUGUUGCUAAAAUAUAUGCUAACAUAUAUAAGAUUAUUUAUUUUCUUGUUUGGAGUACUCAUUGUUUUUUAACCAUGCAGCUCAUCUUGUGGACUGUUCAUGCUCAAGUUUAUGGAAUACUGGACUGGAGAUUCACGAUCUCAUCCUAUUACACAGGUUUUUGUUUUUUAUCUUAUGGAAUAAUAUAAAGUCAAUGACAUGCUAAUUUUUUACAAGUUCUAAUAAUGAUUGCUACCAUGCAGGAAGAUAUUAAUUGUUUUAGGUAUAAGUUAGCAGGCAUACUAUUAUGUUGGAAAACAAACACAACACAAACAACUCCUCAAAAUAUCUCAUUGUUGGGAAGUUCAGAUGACCAAAAAGAACCCAAGGCAACAGAUUCUUUAUUAGAGGAAACAAAAUACCAAUCAUUAAUGUCUAUUCUUUCUAAGAUCAGUGAAAAUGAGUUAGUUGGCGGCCUUUGUGACUACAUCAAAUCAAUUAAUUGUCCAGAGACCUUGCAGUAAGAACCUUCUUAUUACUACUGUGUAUUUUUUAUUAAUAGAAUAAUACAAUGUACAACAUAAGUAUUCCAUUUUGUUAUUCUAUUGAACUUAUGAUGAUCAGAUGUUGCAUGCUGCAUUGCCCCUUGUUAUGAACCGAAUGGAUAUAAACUUUGUAGAGCUACUGUGGGUCUUGCUUGUACAUAUCAGGGACCUUUUAGCCAAAAUUUUGUGCAAGUUAACUGUUUCAUGGUAAUUUGGCUGUGUGUUCCCAUAUACCAUGUUGCAAGUUUCUGGUGUACUGUUCCUCCUGUCAUAUUUUGUUAAUAAGACAAUUUUUCUUUGUCUGGACUGUGUAAAGCCAUCUUUUUGUCUUAAUGCAGAAAAGUAUGGGUGAGAAACUCCAAGCCAUAUUCCAUUAGCUUGACUGUCAGGAAGCUGCAAGAAAUUCUGAAGGAAGAUCUGCCCAUGGACCGUGAUUGUUUGAAUUUGGUUAUUCGAAAAUUCAUGUUUGACGACAUCCAAAUGAUGAAGAAAACCAAAGGAACAAUAUCAAAGCAUUAUCUAGACACGAGGUUUUGGGUAUGUUCUUAUAAUCAUAAUAUAAAUAUAUUCUUUUUUUUCCUCAGGUUUUUAACCACUAUUUUAUUUCACAGAUGAUUACUGAUUUUGGACGACACCCAAACUUCCGUAAAAAGUUAGAUGUGGAACAACUCGCAGAAACCGUUUGUAGCUGGCCUGGUGUUAAUUAUAGUGUUUCAAGAUGCAAAUUGGUAGACAUCACUUCCCUAUACCUAUAAGCACAGUUCUUGCGAUUAUAGCUACUAGCCUUCUUGUACAUUUUAAUGCUCUUGCUCUUGUUCUAACAAAUAGCAUUUUGCAUAUUCUUAUACCAAUAGUACAAUUCAAUAAAACCUUUAUUCUGUUUAUACUAAACCAAGAUACAAGAACCGUCUAUAUUUUAGACCCUACUCCACUUGACCCUGUUUACAAAUACAACUCAAAUGCAAGAUAUGUGAAGAAACUUUUAUGUAUUGCUGAAUUCUUGCCAAAAGCCAUGUCAAAAGUAUGCCCUGGCUCUAGAUGGACUGAGGAUGUUUUCCUAUGGCGUCAAAUAAUCUUAUCUGAUGUUCCUAUCGAAAACAGGUAAGCAUUCUUAUAAGCACUGUUCAGAUGUGGUAGCUUAGGAUUGAGUUGAAGUUUGAUUUAUAAGCACCUGGGUAACACUGCAUGUAGAUUCUUGAAUUUUGAAGGCCAGUUCAGUUUAGCUUUCUGCAGUUAUUUAUAUUUUCAUUGCUUUAUCCUGAAUUUGCUUGUGUCUGUAUGCAUUUUGGCUGCUAUGAUAUGCUUCAUAUGCUAGAAGUGGAUUUUGGUUUGGCCUGUGCACUCUGUCGCAUAAAAUCCUGAGUGUAUGAGCACAUGUAUAACACUGCAACCCAAGGCCAAUUCAAUUUAUCACUUCAGCUCUUCAUAUUUUGUAGCAAACUUCUCGGACAAAAAGGAAAUCAAAUCAUUGUUUUGAUGGACCUAUGAAGUAACUAUUUGGUUUAUUGUAUGAUUGGUUAUAUUCUCCACCCAAAACAUGCACAUCUGUUUAAGCAAAAGUAGUUCAAUCUUCAGUGUCGAACAUAUUAUGAAAAUAUAUGUAUUAGAAUACUCACUGAUGUUCUUGAUGUUCUUAUCUUAUCAGGGAACUAUCCGGUUAUCUUGUUUCUCUCUUCAUGUGCAUAUGGAAAGAUGAAGAACUACGGUUGCCAAUUUUAAAGGUUAGUUUCAUAAGAACUUGAAAUAUUGCUAUUUAUUAUUUACACACUUGUAUGACGCUAAUUAUUAAUUGUUUGCAUACAUAUAUGCAUGUACAGGAUGGCUACGAACUAAGAAAGCAAUUUAUGGCACAACUAUUAACUUACAAGGAGAAUGAAUGUGAAGACAAUAUGCCUGCCGGUGUUCGAGACUUUCUUAGGUGUAUCAAUGCUACUCAAAGUUAGAAAUAGUUUUGCAAGCACAGAGAAUGUAUGAGAUCAUGUUGAAACGGUCUAUUAUUACCGUUGGACCUUUUUGUUUAUAGGAAUAUUUAUUAUUCACUCAUUUCUAAUAUGUAUCAUCAGCUCAGUGAGAUGUUGGAUUUGUUGAACUGAUAUGUAUACCAUACUGGUCCUUACAUGCAAAGUAACUCUAUCUUGAUGAAAGCUCUUAGUUCAGGAGAAGCCAAGUUCCCCCUUUCUUUGAUCUAUCUGAUGUACUUAGAGUUGCCUUUGGUUCUUGUUGAAACUUGAGUGCGAGCUGCUUUAGCACCAUUGACCAGUAGACCUGAAAAGGCAAUCACCAGGAGGCUAGGAUCAUACUGUUGGAUCCAAAAUAAAGAAGGGAGAACUUCUGAAGUGUCUUUUUUUGUCUGUUGACUCAUACAUGGAGCAUUUUAUCUUAUUAAUUUAGAGCAACUGACCUCUUGAUUUUCUACUGAAAAACUGUAAAAGUGCCAUGAUGAUUUUAACAGCUUCGGUCCAUUUGCUUCCAUCAAUCUCCCCAGGUUCGUUUGCUUACUGUCAAUCCUGCAACAACCAAAACGCUUAUGCUAUUAAUUAAUGCAUGUCUAGAGCCUGUCAAUCUCACUGAAUUGGUUAGGAACACAUCACUAAGAAAUGAUGCUAUCAGCUGCUUGAUACACGCUUGAAAUUUGCAGUGCAUGUUACAUCACACAAUAGUCAAGGCCGUUCAACCAAAUCAACAAUAGCAUCAAGAUUCACUUAGCCGGCUACCUGGGCUGCUGUAGGAGCUGUUGUAUCCCGUGUCCUUGGUGGCUUCGAAUGGCCUUGAGGGGCCAAGCGCUGCCGCGUGGGAGUCUGCUGCUUCAGGCCUCGAGCGCUAGCGCUGGUCGGCGUUGGACGGCGAACACCAAAAUUGCCACAUCUAACCCCAGCCUCCCCCUCCCCCUGCCAAAUCGGCAUCACCGCCGGACUCUGCUAACCCCGCGCCCUUCUCUGUUUGCCGCCGCUCCGUUCAGCUCUGUUCAAAACCAGGGGCCGACGAGCCCGGUGCUGCCAUCGGGGAUUUCUGAUCCGCUAGCGUCGCCGCGAUGGAGCCUUCUCUAUACCCCAGAUAUCUCCCGUUUAGCCGCUGGCACCGGCUCCCCUUGAGUUCCUCUCACCGUCCUCGCAUCGCCGCCGCACGCAUCCUCCGGAGAUUCGGGCGCCGUGGCGGCACCUGCGCAUCACGCCGCCGCUCCGUCCGCAUCCGGGACCGGCGGCCGGUUCCCACCCCAUCGGUCCCCGGAGCUGGACGGCAGCACGAGGCAGCUUUUCAUGGCUGGAGGAGCCUCUCCUCCUCCACUUCCAGGAGGAGGCUCCCGGCCGUCGAGAAUGGCCACGGCCACGACGCCGCCACCGUCGCCUCCAGGAGGUCCUCAUGUCCACCGACGAGAUCCCGCCGUCCUCCGAUGUCGACGCCAUCAUCCUCCGGUUCCUACGGCACUUCAGGGACCCGCCCGACGCCGGCCGUGUCGACGGAUUGCCAGCAGAGCUCGAUUCCGAAACGGAUUGGAAUCGAGGCUGACUCGGGGACAGACUGCCAGGAGAGUUUGCAGCCGAACCGUAUUGGAAUCGAGACAGACUCGGAUCGGAAUCAAGGUUGCGUUCCUACCUCUAUACAUAGCUGCGGGGUUGUGGCCAGGAGCCCAGGACAUCCUCGCCAUCGAUAAUACUCAGCAACAAGCACAAGCUUCUUACUCUACUUCCACAAAAGGUACGAUAGGAGCAGUUUUCCAAUUCCAAAAACAGGAUCAUGUGGCUAAGAAAUACAUUGAUCAAAAGGUCAAGUUAGAUGUAAGUAGCACUUUUUAUCCUGUUCUCUGUUUGUUAUAUUUUUUCUGCAUCUGUUUCAUGUUGGAGUUGACACCUGUUUGCAUUUUAGAGUGGGACAAAAACAGAAGAUUAUUUAGAGAAUCUUGAUAAGGCUCUCAAUGUAACCUGUACAUUUUGAUAGUAUCUUAAUCUUUUUGAGUUCACCUAUAAUAUCAGUGGUUAUAUAUGUGUUGCUUUAACGGAAGUCCUCAUGUGUGCAUUUUUUUUUACUGUGAAUGUGAUAUUUUGCAUGACUCGUUGCGUCAAGGAUCUGGACUGCAGAAUAUGAUAUUUGAGUUGCAUAUUUCUGUAUGCUUCAUAUUACAUUAUAUUGUAUAAUAGUUGGGAAAUUAGAUGUAUGGUGUGAUGAUAUCACCAGGCACUGAUGCUAUUAAUACUAUAUUUACACGGUGCUUUGCAUGCUUAGACCCUGACCAGCCAAUUAUAGCGGCCCAUGUUGCUUAGGAUGGUUAACUAAACCAAUGAUCAACUUUCGUGAGUACAGGUGAAAAACCGUAUUGUAUGACUAAGGCUCAUUUCUUUUGAAGCCAAUAUAGACACUGCCUAUUCUGGUGUUUGAACGUAUCUGAAUGCAUAUAGUUUCAGCCUAUUCCUUACCCAAGACUGAAGUGCAGAUGCACAACACUGAACUAAGAAUUGGUUGGAGAGAAUUAGGAAUGAGCACCUCAUCAACUUGUGGGCUUAUGGGAGAACCAUGAUGGACCCUUAUUUCAGCACUGACAGUUGCUGUUUUACCGUUUAGGAUGCCAGGAAUUAUGAAAAAGUUCUCAGCAGUGAUCCAGUCAUAGAUCGAGCUAACAAUAUAGUAUGCCUUUUUGUAGUUUGAAGAAAAACUAAAUUUUGAUUAAUUUAUGGAACUUUAAACCAUGAGGAUUCAAUUCUGCUGGUAGAAAAAAAAUCCAUAAUUCUAGAUCUAAAAUGGGUGUAUUUCUACCUUCUGUUAAUAAGAUGGAUUAAAUAGCUAUGUACAGCUGGAGAAAGGGAAUCAACUGAAGGAGCUCUCUUGAUGGCAGUUUGUGGACUUCAGGUUCAGCUGAUUAGUUACAACCUGUGUUGAGCUUGAGAGGGCUGCAACCAUAAAAUUGCUCAAAAAACAACCCCAUCAAUUUCCAUUACUUGUAACGAGAAUAUCAGAGUUUAGCAGUAAUGAAGAACCAAACCAAAAAAUGAUCUGCAUUGAAGUCUGAAAGCUUCUUACAAAUAAGAAUUACCAGAAAUUAACAGCUGAUUCAGGUGUUCUCCUAUAAAUUUCUGGUUUUUUCCCAUGGCCAGGCUGAUACCUGAAUAUUGGCCAGACUGUAGCAUUUGUAAUGUGGAUAACUUGUAGGUUUUCUGUAAGUUGCCAUGUGAGUUCUACCAACAAUCGAGUCUUUGCACAUCUUGCUUGUAUGCCAGAAACAAGUUGUAAAAUGUCAUGGACUUGAGUGAUAAAAUAGAAGCUGUUUUCCAAUUCCAAAAACGCAGGGAGCUACUGUGUAUCCAAUUCAUAAUGCAGUUAAGAUCUUUUUUUUGUCUUUCAAAACAAAUAAUUAGAUCAUGUGGUACCAGUUGGCAAUAUGAAAUGAGCAAAGCUAAUAUUUUUGAAAUAUUGCGUAUCCUGAAAACUUGAAGGUUCCAUUCAAAAAAGGCAACCUGUUGUUCCCAGAAUUUCUUUCCAUGAUACAACAACAUGCCAUGGUUUUCCUUACUGAUUUACUCGAUGAACCUAGGCUAAUUCGUUCGUUUCAAUCAAGUUUAUGUAACAGAUUGCAUAAUAGAUAUCCUCUCUGAAUUUAAGCAAUCCCCUUUCAUGCUACUUGCAGACAACUCACAAGAAAAGAUUGUAAAGCUGCAAUAAUUGCUUGUCCGUGGACUUCUUACUGGAUCACCUUCUCAACAUAGCACACACAUAUAGUUGUCUCCAGCGAGCACCGUAUAAUCAAUGACAACUCUUGGUAUGUUGAAUAUGAUUCAAAUCUUUUUCAAACCAUUAAACACAGAAUUAAUGUUUCUCGGUCUCAUAUAUUUUCAUAAUAUUAUGUAUAUCUCUUUGCAGAAAAACCAUUUGAAUCAACAUCGCAACUCUUGGAUCCCAAAGAGCAGAGAAGGAAAAGAGAUAGAGAUAGGUAUGCACGGAUGACUGAUCAAGAAAAGCAGGAAAAACUCAAAAAACGUCGUGAAGCCUAUCAUCAACAAAAAAGAACAAGUACAAAUUCAACUCAGAUCCAAAAAAAAUGCUCAGAGGUGACUGAUCAAGAAAAGCAGCAAAAAAUACAGAAAAAAUGCAUGCAUGAGAAGGAAAGAUAUGCAAACAUGCAACCAAACCAAAAGAAAGCAAAGUUACAACAAGAUUCCGUUAACCGUGCACGACGACGUAACACUCUAAGCAAGAAUUCAAUUGCAAUGGAGAACCCUGCAAAUAUCGUAACAGAUGAAGACUAUUCUACGAACACCAAAGUCAUAGAUGAUCUACAAUCUAAAAAACAGCCAACAAACAUGAAGGAAGGUAAUACUCCUAAUUGCAUAUAUGACUCUCACAAUCAGAUAAAACAUGCAUCAAUUUUUACAAUGAUAACAAUCUUUCAUGGACAGAUAUCCCCUAUUCAAUGUGUCCAGCCACCAAGGAUGGAGAAGAACCAAAUGAAUCAAUCAUUGAUGAUGAACCAUAUGGUAAGGAUAUAUAGUAAAUUUAUAUUCUCAUGCAAUAGAAAAUAGCAUAUAAUUCACAUAUUUCUAUGCAGAUGACGAUGGAGUUGUAUAUGAAGAAGACACUGAUGAGGAGGAUAACAUAAUUUCUGGUCAAGGUAUGAUAAACACGUUAAAAUAUUUUCACAUCACAAUGUGAGUAUUGCUCUAAUUUUUUUAAUCCUACAAAUCAUAGCAGAAUGGGAAGAUAUGGAGGUACAAAUAAAUGAAAAUGAGUCAACCGUUCCCGAGCAUUCAAACAUCAAUGAUCCAUAUGACCUCGUCUAUAGUAACAUACCAGACAACACACACAAGCUGAAACCUGUUCAAAAUUGCAAAUAUUGCGAUGCAAAAAAAUUUCACCACGAACCUGAAGGCCUAUGCUGUCGAAAAGGACAAAUAAAACUUGCAAAUCUUGAGACACCACAUCAGCUCAUGAGACUAUGGACGAGCAAUGACUCUGAUGCAAUACAUUUUCGAAAGAAUAUAAGGUUUUUCAAUGGCCACUUCUCAUUUACUUCUCUAUACUGUCGCCUCGAUAGAGAUACAACUACAAUGAGAAAUAGCGGUAUUUACACCUUCCGAGCACAUGGUCAAAUCUAUCACAACAUACGCUCAUUUGGAAAAGAUGGUUCAGAUCCUAAGCAUCUAGAACUCUACUUCUAUGAUGAUGAUCCAACCCUAGAGCAUCGUUACCGCUAUUGCCGCAAGGAAAUGUAUGAACAAGACAAACAUGUAUUACUCAUUAUAACCAAUACUCUACGCAACAAUCCAUACUCUGAACAAUUUAGGACUUUGGGACAGGAAGAAAACCUUGAGGAGUACAGAGUGAUGUUGAACCUUGACCAAAGAUUGGACCAAAGGACAUACAACGCACCAAUCACAUCAGAGGUAGCUGCAAUUUGGGUUGAAGGAAAUGAACGGAGGAAUACUUUUGACAGAAAUGUAAUACUACAUGGGAACAACAACGAAAUACAAGGAAUCCGAUCAUACGCUAGAUGCUACGAUCCAUUGUCUUAUCCUCUGUUCUUUCCAAGAGGUGAAUUGGGAUGGCAUGCCGAUAUCCCAAAGGUUGGAAUUACUACGGAAGAUGUAAAGAAAGCUCGUGCUAAUCAAAAUAACAAAAACAAUGACCCAGGUAACUAAUUCAAAUAUUAGCCUUCAUAGUUACAUAUACUAAUUAAAUAAUUGCCUAUGUCGUUAACAAUCAAUUCUAUUUGUCCAACACAGAUUCAAGUGGUAGAUUGUGGGUAACCAUGAGAGAAUACUACUGCUAUAAAUUUCAUGUGCGACCAAACAUAUUUAACCCAAUACUAUACGACGGACGACUUUUCCAACAAUUCGCCGUGGAUACAUACAUCAAAAUUGAGAGCUCACGACUGGACUUCAUAUGGAAUCAUCAGAAAGAGAUAAGGGCGGAUCUAUACCAAGGCCUUCUAGAUAGCAUUCAUGCAGGACAAGACAGGGGAGAUGCGGUCGGAAAACGGACAGUGCUUUCAUCAUCAUUUAUUGGGGGUCCUCGAGACAAGAUGCGUCGGUACCUAGACGCUAUGGCUUUAGUUAGAAAAUAUGGGAAACCGGACAUAUUCCUCACGAUGACAUGCAAUCCCAACUGGGAAGAGAUCACGAAUGAACUUGAGUUUGGUCAAACACCACAAGAUCGCCCUGAUCUUGUUGUUCGUGUUUUCAGAGCAAAACUAGAAGAAAUGAAAAAGGAGUUGUUAGAAGAGCACAUCCUAGGCAAGGUGAAGGCCUAUACCUAUGUUGUAGAGUUCCAAAAGAGAGGUCUACCGCACGCUCAUUUCUUGCUUAUAAUGACCGGAAAAUAUAAGCUUACUUGUCCAGAGCAAUAUGAUAGACUAAUCUCGGCGGAGCUCCCAAACAAACAAAAGUACCCAGAGUUGUACAAGAUGGUUAUCAAACAUAUGAUGCAUGGACCUUGCGGUACAUUGAAUAAGAACUGUGCAUGCAUGAAGAAUCGAAAAUCAUGCAAGAACUAUUAUCCAAGGCCAUUUAACGCUACUACCAUUCAAGGCAAGGAUUCUUACCCAUUAUACAGGCGACGUGAUGACGGCCACAAUGAAAUAGUCCGAGGGCACAAACUAGAUAACAGGUGGGUAGUCCCAUACAACCCUUACCUCCUACAAAUGUUCAAUUGCCAUAUAAAUGUCGAGGUAUGCUCAAGCAUCAAAGCUGUCAAAUACCUAUACAAAUACAUCUACAAGGGGCAUGACCGUGCGUCUGUAUGUGUAAAUGGGACAAGUGAAAAAGAAGACAUCGAUGAGAUUAGACAAUACAGAGACGCGAUAUGGGUGACACCACCAGAGGCACUAUGGAGGAUAUAUGGCUUCGAACUAAGCAAGACAAAUCCUCCAGUCAUGCAAUUGCAGCUUCAUCUUCCAAACAUGCACAUGGUUUCAUACCAUGGAAAAAAAGAAAUAACGGAAGUUAUCAACCGCGAAGGUGUUGAGAAGUCAAUGCUAACGGCAUACUUCGAAGCAAACAAAAUACACGAAAAAGCACGAGGCAUUCUGUACCGUGAUUUUCCAGAACAUUAUACUUGGCAAACCCAAGGGAAGUUUUGGCAACAGAGGAAAAGGAAAACGUUGUACCAGGUUGGGAGAAUCGUCUCAGCACAUCUAGCCGAAGGAGAAAGAUACUAUCUUCGAGUUCUCCUGAACCAUGUGAAAGGCACAACCUGCUACGAAGACCUACGAACAGUUGAUGGCCAAAUAUUGCCAUCAUUUCGUGAAGCUGCAGAGAGAAGGAGCCUCAUUGAGGCAGACAACACGUUAGAUGAUUGCCUGACGGAAGCAGAGUUAUUUCGGAUGCCAUCCUCGCUGCGAAGGCUAUUUGCAACAAUUCUUGUGUUUUGUGAGCCCCACGACAUCCGUGCACUAUGGAACAAUCACAUCGAGGCAAUGUCGGAAGACUAUCGACGAAACUGCAAAAAUGCAAAAAUGGUCGAACAGAUGGUAUUAAUCAAUAUUAGAGAAAUGUUGCAAUCGAUGGGAAAAGACAUACGAUCAUUUCCUCUUCCAGAGAUCAACGAGAAAAAUGACACAAAAGACAAUACACCUAGGGAGAUCACCGAGGAAGCCAACAUCGAGGUGGACCCUGAGGACAUGGAAUUGCCUAAACACCUAAAUGACGAGCAAAAGGCCGCCUACAAUGAAAUUCUAACAGCAAUUGAUAGAGAUGAAGGAGGGCUAUUCUUCGUAGAUGGACCGGGAGGAACUGGGAAAACUUUUCUAUACAGGGCAUUGCUUGCAACAGUCCGUGGACAAGGAAAAAUAGCUUUAGCAACAGCAACCUCUGGUGUCGCUGCUUCCAUAAUGCCCGGAGGAAGGACAGGGCACUCAAGGUUCAAAAUACCAUUAAGGAUAGAUGAUGGGGCUAUUUGUUCAUUCACAAAACAAAGUGGGACAGCCAAGCUACUUCAGGCAGCAUCGCUAAUCAUUUGGAACGAAGCAUCGAUGACUAAGAGGCAGGCAAUAGAGGCACUGGACAAAAGCAUGCGUGACAUAAUGGAUAUACCAAAUCUUCCAUUCGGUGGGAAAACAGUGGUAUUUGGGGGAGAUUUUAGACAAGUUCUGCCGGUUGUACGAAAGGGUACAAGAUCACAAAUAGUAGAUGCCUCACUACGCAGAUCUGAACUCUGGAAUUGCAUGCGUCACAUGAAGCUUGUGCGCAACAUGAGGGCUCAAAAUGACCCAUGGUUUGCAGAAUACCUAUUGCGCAUCGGCAAUGGCAUUGAGGAGACAAACGAUAAAGGCGAGAUAUGUCUGCCCAAAAAUAUAUGUAUUCCACGCACAAUGGAUGAUUCCGGACUUGAUAGACUCAUCGACAACGUCUACCAAAUGAACAACACUUGCCUGGAGGAUCCAAAUUACAUCACAUCAAGAGCCAUUUUAUCCACGCGUAAUGACUGUGUAGACCGCAUAAAUCUGAAAAUGAUUGAACGAUUCCAAGGAGAAGAGAUGGUCUAUCACAGCUUCGAUAGUGUAGAAGAUGACCCACAUAACUACUAUCCCCCGGAAUUCCUAAACACACUAACCCCAAAUGGACUACCACCACAUAUGCUGAAGCUCAAGAUUAACUGUCCAAUAAUACUACUCAGAAAUAUCGACCCAGCUAAUGGACUAUGCAAUGGCACAAGAUUGGUGGUACGAGGAUUCCAGAAAAAUGCAAUCGAUGCAGAGAUUGUACUAGGACAACAUUAUGGGACAUGAGUUUUCUUGCCCCGAAUCCCGCUGUGCCCCUCUGAUGAUGAGAUGUUCCCAUUCCGUUUCAAGAGAAAACAAUUUCCUGUAAGACUAAGUUUCGCAAUGACAAUAAACAAAGCACAAGGACAAACAAUACCAAAUGUAGGCAUCUACCUGCCUGAACCGGUUUUCUCUCACGGUCAAUUAUAUGUCGCGCUUUCUAGAGCAACAACGGCCAAGAACAUAAAGAUACUAACAGCUGAAAAUGAUGAUGAAGAUGAGGACAACAAGCAGGACAACAAAAUUGAGCAAUCAGAGAAAAAUAAGAAAAGGAAAAAAAGGAAGACAAAAGGCGACAUGUCAGAUAAGAAAGAGGUCAAUCAAAAAGACACAACAGAUAGAUACACGAAGAAUAUAGUGUAUUCAGAGGUCCUCACCAAAUAGGUACUGAGCUUUUUGUAAGUUCUAUGAGAAAUUACUCAUGAUGGUUUUAUGCAUGUGUGGACUAACUAAAGUUGAUAUUUAUUAUUUCUGUUACAAAUAGGCGAUUCUCCUGCAAGCAACAACAAAACAACAAACUUUCUGAAAGGUAUGCCUUGAUUGCUGUACUCGGAUUCCUAUGGAUUUCCUUGCUGUCAAAAAAAGAACUGAAAUUGCUAUGGAUUUGCUUGCUGUCCAGGAAAAAGACAAUUGGUGGGAACUAUGUAAAGAUGCACAAAAACAUAGGAAUAUACUUUCCCUGUCCAAUUAACAUGUUCAUUUUCUGUAUUCAAUAAAGCUGACAAAGCGUAGGCAAGCAAAAGAGAUACUGUCGUUGGAUGGUGUAUGAAUUAGAGACUUUUGCAGAGGUAUGUAAUCUACAGUUAUUUUGAUAUAAUCGAACUGUGACAGUGAUGGUAGUGAGCUUAGAAAUGUUUUGUUUUAUUUUAUAUGACUAGCAGAGAACUGAUUAUUCUAUAUACUGAAUUCAUUCAGGUUCUAAAGACUUCCUAGAACUCAUCAAAAGUGCAUUUGUGGUGGGGCCCUGGAAGAUUAGAAGUAUAUCAGUUUGAACUCUAAUUUGUGUUCAUGUAUCAUGCAACCUUUAUUUUGUGAAGUUUUGCUGAAGACAGGAGUAUGUGUCCAUCAUAGAAAUCGAACUACGUUUCCUAUGCUUAGGAUUGUAUAAAAAACUAUGGUGUCAGGCCAAGGCUUCGGUGCAUUACUAUGAAGCUUGGUGGGCAAAUGGGCAUGUAAGUUAUCAAUGUGUUUGCUAAAUGCAGCAUUAUCAUAUAACAAAUGGAUUCCUCCCAUCUAGCUUUAUUAAUUAUAGAUCUUUCUUUCAACUGAUGAAUUCCAUUGCAACAAUAUAUGGCAUGAUAUUCGGAUACUUUUUUUUGUUGUUGGAACUGCAUGCUACUCUGUCACCAUAAUUUUCUGACUGUUAUCCUGUGACCUCUACUCUGCUUAUUAUUCUCAGGAGAAGGAUGUCACUUCAUAUAGCUCAAGUAAUCAGAUGGAAAAGAAGCCCAACAGAUGAGGUCUGGCUAACUCCUCUUUUCUUAUAGUCUGACUUCAUAUAGCUGUGUACUUAGUUUAUUUUAUUUCUGACUAACUCCUCUUUUCUUAUAGUCUGACUCAUGGAACUAAGCACUCAACUUUUGACUUCUGCAUAACUUCAGAAUGCUGCUUGCUUGGACAAUGAGAUAAAAUAUGACCAAGAUUUCGACUAUCAUUAUUUUGGUUUUAAGACACUUCAGAGGUCUUAUCUGUUGAAACCUGGUGGAAAGGUCAACGAAAGGCCGCAGGAUAUGUUCAUGAGAGUUUCUGUUGGCAUACAUAAGGAUGAUAUUGAAUCGGCUGUCAGAACAUACCACAUGAUGUCUCAGCGCUGGUUCACUCAUGCUUCCCCGACCCUUUUCAAUGCUGGCACUACAAGGCCCCAGGUACUGCAGUGCCACCUUCAAUCAAAAAUGUUUUCAGUGUGGAGUGUGGGCUGUUAACUUAUGCAUUUAAUCUCAUCCUUCUAUUUAAUGUUGCGCAGCUAAGUAGCUGCUUCCUUAUCUGCAUGAAAGAUGAUAGUAUUGAGGGAAUUUAUGAUACUCCCUCAGAAUGCGCUACGAUAAGCAAAUGCACUGGAGGAAUUGGUGUCUCAAUUCACAACAUUCAAGCUACUGGGAGCUACAUUCGAGGAACAAAUGGUACUUCUAAUGGAAUUGUUUUCAAUGAUACUGCCUGUUAUGUUGAUCAAGGUGGAGGCAAGAGAAAAGGUAGGUACCAUCAGUAAGUCAGCCAGGUCCUAUUUACAUGAUUGCUGAGGAUUUCUUACAAAUACCUUUCGUUAGGUGCAUUUGCUGUUUAUUUGGAGCCCAACAUCUUGAUAUCUUUGAGUUUCUUGAUAUAAGAAAGAACCAUGGAAAGAUAAAAGCUCUUGAACAAUAGCACACAUUCUUGAAAAUUGCCAGCUGCGAUUGAAUACAUUUUGACAAUUGAUUACUGUCGAAGACACACUGUAUAAGAAUUGCACUAUAUAUAAGCGCUUGGCAUGCUAUUACAUUAGAUUGCCUCAUCUGUGAAAAGUUUUUUAUGUGACAUUUAUACGAGGAGAAUCGUGUAAGGGAUCUUUUCUAUGCUAUGUGGGUUCCUGAUCUGUUCAUGGGAAAGGUACAACGCAAUGAACUGUGGUCACUGUUUUGUCCCAAUGAAGCUCUAGGUUUGGCCGAUUGCGAUUGCUAGAGAGAUGAGUUUCAGAAUCUGUACGAUAAAUAUGAAAGAGAGGUAAGCUGGAUGCUGCACCUGUAUAUACAAUUUUUUCAAGGUGACCAAAGAUAUAUAAUAACCCAGUUAUGUGAUUUCAGGGCAAGGCAAAGAAAGUGGUUAUUAUCCCCGUUGAGAAUGCAAGGAGGUCAAAUAUAAGGCCCAGGCCAAUUGGGAUAGGUGUUUAAGGAUUGGCAAAUACUUUUAUUCUACUUGGAAUGCCAUGAAUUGGUGAUUGGCGAGGAGAUAUUUCCGGGCUCGCGAAUGGCGGACUGGUGAUUGUGUAGCGAAGCUAACAUAUUACGAACAAUUGAAUAAUAACGUGAGAGCAAGUAAAGACCCGUAGCAACGCACGGGCAUUUCUGCUAGUAUAGAUUAAUUAUAAAAUUAAUGGUACAGAUGGAGUCUAAUUCGCGAGUCGAAUCUAUUAAACCUAAUUAGUCUAUGAUUUGACAAUAUGGUGCUAUAGUAAUCAUUUGCUAAUGAAUAAAUUCGUCACGAAUUAGUACAAGAUUCUGCAAUUAGUUUUAUAAUUAGCUCAUAUUUAAUUCUUUUUAAUUAGUAUUUAAAUAUCCGAUAUGACACUUUAGUGGUGAGAGCAGACCGACGUACGAGGAAAAAUGGGAGGACCGGAUGACGUAAAAAAUCAGUCUUAGUUUGUUUUUAAAAAAGUAGAGAUUCUUGCGAAUCUCACACUUCGUUAAAAAAAAAUCUCGCCACACAAAUUGCACAAACAAAAGGAGAAGGCGCCCUUGGGGAUAGUCGUAGGCGUAAACUGCUGUCCGUCAGGCAUGACGUAAUCGACGGAACGCGAAACGGCGUUCUUAUAAAAACCAACCCCGCCCCGUCACGCCUCGUCGGUCGUCAGCUCGUCAUCGCGCGGGUAGCUGCCGCCGCCGUCGACGGCUCGACGCCGCGUUCGCGAACGUUCCGGUCGCCUACAAAUAUCCGGCAUCCAAGGCCGGCGCGCCGACGAGGCCAACCGAACUCACUCGCAUCUGGAAGCGACCCGACCCGGUUUCCCCUUCCUCCACCAGCUGAUUCACGCGCUCGACGACGGGAAGCGUCUGUCUAGGUGCGUCCUUGGUUGCUCAAUCGCUCCCACCCUCAAAUUCGCUCGCUCUUUGUUUGUUCGUCUUAGUCGGAUCAGCGGCAGUAUCUAUGGCUCAAAUUGGCCCGGAUGGUUGUUUCUGGGAGUUGAAUUUCGCCAUUUCGGUCAAAUUGGGGGGCUAGCUUUGGGCAAUAAUUAUUUUGUGGGGAGGUUUGGGCAACAAUUUUGCUCGAGGGAUUGGUGAAAUGUCUUACGGUGGCGCUUCCUCCCUACCCUACUGUGACGCAAAGGUGGAUUAUGCUGUCAAAUUGUUUGUGGCCCCCCUACUGUGAUUCCAAGGUAGAUUAGGUUUUGAUGUGGCUAUGCAUCCUAUUAGCAGUGGCAAUCGCCCCUCUUUUGGAUGGGUGAAGGCUUGAUAAUCCACAAACUCCUCGUUUUGCUAGUGACAAAAUGUGUGAAGUUGGAAGCAGUCUAAUAGUAAUAUCUGUAUUGCUAAAAAAAACCUCGACCAGUGGGAGAGACGUCCCCCUGAUUUUGUCUUAAGAAAAUUUGCCGCGACUCGAACCUGAAUAUCUGGAUUGCUCAACUUGGUUCAUGAUUGAGCCCGUGGUGUUUGUUAGAUUCUCUUGAGAUUUCGAGCUUUCUUUCAUGCCUAAGUCUCUAGCUUCCUUGCCAUAACUUGAUAAUUAGCAUUACCACAUUCUUUUGGAUGAUCUAUGAAAUUGAUAGCAUAAGGUGGUCUUGUAUCAGGAACAAGAUGGAAGAGAGCAGAAUAGCUCGAAUUUCAGUCACCUGGAGGGGCAGACAGCUUGAUGUGGAUGCAGAUCCAAGUUGUACUGUGAAAGAAUUUGGGCAACUGCUGCAGGAUUUGACCAGUGUUAAACCAGAGACAUUGAAGCUCAUUGUACCACAAUCUACUAGCAAAGGCUCCAAGUUAAUCACACCAUUUUCGGAUCCUCAUUCAAGCUUGUCACUGAAUGAAGCAGCUAUCAGCGAGGUAAGAUGUGGCUAGCGUGCAAUAUUUCACCCACUCAUUGCCAAUGUGGCUUGCUAGUGGAUAUUGUAAUGGCAGCUGGCUAUCGGAAUCAUUACGACUGGUUUUUUUUCUUAUUACAGGGAAAACCUAUCAGAAUGAUGGGUGUUUUUGAUGAUGAAAUCGAGGAAGUAUCUGACAAUGGAAAAAGGCCAGAUCUACGUAUAAUUGGAUUUGAUGAGGAAGAACAACGGCUUAGGCAACGAUCAUCAGGCAGGCCACAGAUAUCACUCAAACUUCCUCAGGGACAAUAUAUCUUCUGUGAUUUUCGUACACUUCACUUACCUGGGAUUGAGGUUAGUCAACCCCCUCCUCCACCUGCUCUGAAGGCUACAAGAAAUAGAUCCCUUCAAUAACAAUCACUGAAACAUACUUCAGAUGUUCCAGAGUUCCUUUACAGUGCCCUGCUUGAAUUAUGCACACUCUUCCCCUCAAUCAGUUGAUCUGAGCAGAAUGCAUUUUUAGUGUUGGCUAAUGGUUUGGGGAGCUACAUCAGUGUGUAUUUUUUGCUGAAAGUUCUGCCUAGGACCGCUUGCAAAGACUGAAAGCUGAACACAAAAUUGUUCUAAUUGUUCUAGUGUCCAAUAUAAAAUAGUGUUGGUUAUAAAACCUUUUCCAUUUCAUGCCACUAUCUCUCUAGGGCAUGCUAGUAGAAGACUACACAUCUCUAAUAUGUAUGAUCCUGGAUGUGCAAUCAGUCAGUUCUGACUUAAGCUGUUGUACCUGUUUAAUUUCUUUUUCUCUGCCAGCUGAAUCCUCCACCUUCAGAAGCUCUGAAAAGGAUGCACAUGCUUGCAUGUGACCCUGGUAUAAUUGCGAUCAUGAACAAGGUAAUGAUCUUCAAGAAGUAAUCCUAUCUCUUAAUGGACUUUCAUCCUUUUCUGACUUUGCUAUUGGUGUUUUCAGCAUAAAUGGCGAGUUGGAAUCAUGACCGAAAUGGCUCCUGUCGGAUAUGUAGGCGUCAGUCCGAAAUGCAUUUUAGGCUUCAAUAAGGUGAACAUAAGCCAUUACAAUAUGUAUAUUAUAGAAAAAUUAGUCGGGCAUUAGUUUCUGAAAAUAUACCUGUGCUUAUUAUUCAUGCAUGCAGAACAUGGGAGAGGAAAUAUCUCUUCGCCUACGAACUGAUGACUUGAAGGGAUUCAGGAAGUAUGAAAGUAUCAAGAAGACUCUACUUCAUGAACUUGUGUGUAAUUUUUUGCUUCGCUAAAGAUCUCCUUACGAUUUUUUAAGUUCACUGUAUUUGGGUCUUAUGGCUAUUUUUCAAUUCCAGGCACAUAUGGUGCAUUCUGAGCACGAUGCAAACUUUUUUGCUCUUAAUAAGCAGGUAAUUUUUCCUAGAUGCUCCCAUCAUGUUCGGUUGCCAUAUCUUUACAGGUCAUUUUAUUCAAUCUUAAAUCAGCUUUUAAUUUCUGGCAGUUGAAUGAGGAGGCUGCUUCCUUGGACUGGACCAAGUCUACAGGUCAUAUGUUGAGUGGUCGCAAAAUCUUUGAUUCUUAUGAAGAUGAAUUUGUUCUGGAACCAGGGAUAGCUGCUGCUGGUCACAGGCUCGGGGGAGAGUCAAGUUCGCUGGCUAGUGCUCGUGCAUUGUCAGGGGCUGCUGCUUAUCAACGUUUCUUGAAUGCAUCUGCAAAGGAGUAUCAUGUAUCAGGCACUGAAAUUAAAUAUAGUCCAGAUGUUGUUCCUCAAGAUUUUGUUCAGGAAACUGUGAAGGUAGAGCCAGAUCCAGAUGAUGCUAUGCAUGUUGAUUUAGCAAUUGUGACAUCAGGGUCUCUGGAUUCUAGGUUGUUGGCAGAACAGCAUACCAUUGGCUACUCUGAGCCUGAUCCUAAUGAUGUUGGCAAGCAAAGUUCUGUUGGUUGCCUAGAACCUGAUCCUGAUGACUCCUCAAAUGUUGAUAUUCUGAACCAGGAGCUGAGGUUUGAUGGAAGACAGCAUAGCGAACCUGAUCCUGAUGAUGGUACAAAUGAAUUUGUUCUGGAAUAUGGAAACAAGAUGGAAGUGGAUAGUGAACUGACAAACAACAUCACAGUUUUGAAGUCUGAACCUGACCCUGAUGAUUCCUCAAACGCCAUGUUGGUCAUUGAUGGGAAGCAGGGUGGAGAACCUGAUCCUGAUGAUACUACUUGUCUAGUUUCAAAAUCUGGAGAUGAGACGGAAGUUAUAACAGCUCAGCGUAGAAGCUCCGCAGUUUUGAAGUCAGAACCUGAUCCUAACGAUUGUAUUGGUGAUUUAAAAAGCAAUGAGCUGCAAAUGAUUGAAGAACCAGUGGCAGCGCUCUGCGCUCGACUCCAGAAGUCCAUUGAAAUGCUCCGAUUGCAAGCAACACCUGCAGAGGCAGACUCCGCUAUUCAAACACUCUUUAAGAUUAUCAAGAAUGUGAUAGAGCACCCAAAUGAUAUUAAGUAUAAGAGAUUGCGUAAGGUAUAGUUGUCUGUUCUCAUUUCUCAUUGUUCUUGCAAACUGUCAUGUAUCGUUCAUAUAUUCCUGCAAAUUUUUGAUGAAUUUUCCUCGUUUGCCACAUUUGCAGUCCAAUCCACAUUUCCAAAGGAGUGUAGCGAACUAUAAAGGUAUUACUGUUAGAUCCACCAGUUGUCACUGCUUUCUAGAGUCUUGAAUUGUAUUGCAUACUGAUUGUUUAAUCUCUUUUUACUCCAAAACCAGCUGCCAUGGAGGUUCUUGAAUUGAUCGGCUUCUGCGAGGAUGUUGUCUCAGAUGAGAUUGGGCGUGCAGAGACUUACCUGGUAUUGAAAAGGAACGAUCCUGGAUUGCUAUGGUUGGCAAAGUCCUCUCUUGAAGUCACUCUGGCUUGAUAAAAAUUUAUAUAUACUCCAUCCUUGCUAUUUUCUUUUGUGGAUACACUGGGCAAGAGAACUAGGCAUUGUUAUCAUGUACUGUUUUCUUGUAUAGGCACUGUUGUAUACCUGUAUAUGAACACACAAGAACAGAAUGCUGAUUGCAACUUUUAACUUUCUACUCUUUGUUUUGACUGGAUGGCUUGCAUGUACUCCCAUGUGAUGUACUGAUGAAACCUAACCACACGCCAGCAAGCCAGCAAGGUACCAAGAUUGACUGAUUGAGGAUUUCAUUGUACAUGCAGCUUUGAAUUGGCAGGUCAUGCUGCAGUCAAAAAUAGUCAGGAGGAGCAAUCUUUUCAAUGUGGCUGAGCUUCUUAUACCUCCAUCUCUUCUCCUCUUGAUAUGCAAACACUUGCUACUAAUAAUGCAUUUAUUAUGAAGUGUCUAGUUGCCUCUUGCUGUCUUGCAACACUUCAACAUGCAUCUUUCUUUGAGAGGGAUAGAAGAAAGGAAUGGUGUAAAUGCUAGCCAUUCUUAGAGAGCCUUCUCGAACAGCAAAGACCUGCCGGUCUUCCUCCAUUUUGAUUUUUCAGUUUUCUCCAUUUAAAUACUGGGUUCGGGUCCUCGGAUGAUUUGAAGCAACCUUGGUUGCUGCUUCUUUUCAUCGCCCUUUCCAGUUUGUUUUAAAAUCCUGAGGAAGACAGGCUGGCAGCUCGUUGUCCGGGCAAUCUGCGUCUCUUCCCGUCCGCAGAUUGUGGUUGACGUUGCCUACAUUUGGACCAUCUUGGCAUCCUGCCUGAACCAUAGGAUUCUGAGAAAAUUUUUAGGAAUUCCGUUUCAUCUAUUCUGGACUGACCACAUUUACUUUAUGCGUAACAGGAGAAAUGGGCAGCCGACGAAAUGUUGUAUUAAAAUCAGUGUUGUAUUGAUACCAUGCAGAGAUAGAACCUUUGAAUUUGUACGUCUGAUACAGAAGCAUACCUUUUUGUACCGGUACUAAAUAGGAUAUGCAAGCCGUGCUAUACUGCAGCAAAAUCAGUAGCACUGCAUCAGGAUCCAAUGAAACUGGCCUUGUGUGCUGCUUGGAGCCUCUGUUAAUUCUUUUUUCAAAGAAGGUGAUGACAGUUGGCUACUUGCAGUCACGAAAAUGCUCAUAAUUCUUAUGGUGUGGGCUCAAAACCCAGAAAAUCAUUGUUCGAAAAAACCCCCAGAAAAUCACGUCAGAAUAUACAUACAAAUAUCCCAACCAAUUAAAUUGUUGGCAGAAUCGAACUCCGGGCACCAAACACGAGAAGCAAAUUGCUCUAACAAUUGGUUAGGAGAAACCCAGUUCUUGCAGCAAACUGAAUAGUGAAUUGCAUUAACACAGAUUACAAGUUUCUUGAAACAUGAAAAAUAUACGGACUAAAAGGCCAAAUAUUUCUAGAAGGAAACAAUAGCGACCGCUUUUGGUUGCUAUGUGCUAGUAGAAAUUGAUAUAGGUCCUGUUUAUCUCCGCUUAUCUGGGCAAGCAGGAUUGUCUGGUAAGCCUGAAAUACUCCUGAGGCGGAUGAUAGCUAAAAUGUCCCGAGUAGUAAAGCGUCGUGCAUGCCGGAACAGGAUUUCAUCGAGGAUUACCUCGCCGACAACAUCAUUUCCUCUUCCAUGCUGUAUUGUCUGCUUGUCUCGACAUCAAGUCCUUCCAUGAUUGACAUGUAACGAGCUGCAGUUUGAUCCCUAUCGUUCCUCCUUGAAGUAGUAUUAUGAUGGGCAUAUUUCUUUGUAAUAACUCUCAAGUUUUCAAGUGUUAUCUCAACUUCCCUCGAUGUUGAGCGAUCUUCUCCAUUCAAUUUUGUGCACGUUGCCGCUAAUGUGACAACUUCAUGAACUUGUUCACCCUCCUCCUCCGGUAUUUGAGGGUCUAUUAUGUCAACCAGGUUUCUUUCAGUAAGUAAUGAUGCAAAAUGUGAAACAAGAUCGUCACCAUCGUCAGAUCGGUAGACAAAUGGUUUUUUUCUAGUAAGCAAUUCUAUAAGAAGAACACCAGAACUAAAAACAUCACUCUUUUCCCCUGGACGGCUGUAGUCACUCCGGUUUGAUCAAUCGAGAUAUACUUUGAAGCUCCGAAGUCUGAUAUCUUUGCCGUUAAAUUAUCAUCAAGAAGUAUGUUAGAUGACUUGAUAUCUCUAUGGAGUAUUGGAGUUGAUGCAGCUGAAUGUAGAUAGGCCACUGCUUUAGAAAUUUCGAGGGCAAUCCUUAAUCGGUCAUCCCAUGAUAUUGAUACCGGUCCUUCAACAUGAAGAUCUUGGGGGCGCAGUUUUGGAGGCUGACCGGGCGGAAGUCCGUUGCCACUAUGACGAACUCUUUCUUCGGGAGCAAGACGACGCAGGCGCGGUUCACAGCAUCCAUGUCUGCGCUCCCGCCAUGGAAGUCCCUGAGGAAGUUCAUGACCGCCUCCCCCACCACUAGCCAGAACGAGCGGAAGAAGGCCGGCCCAAAGCCAUCCGGCCCAGGGCUCCGCAUGCUCCACAGCGCCCCCUUAGCUUCCUCCUCCGUGAACAGCUCAUCAAGCCAUGCCAGCCCUGGAACGGGGGAAGCACCGCCACCACGUCAAAGUCGCUUUAUCGUGUCUUGCCUAGUCCCCAGGAGCUCGGAGUAGAAGAUAUGCAACACACGCUCCUUGCCCUCGUGAGUGUACACAGGCACACCAUUGCUGUGGAGGACGGCGAUAUGGUUGUGCCGGAGACGGGCGGAGGCAGAGGCAUGGAAGAACCUGGUGUUCUCGUCUCCAAGCUUACAUACCUUGAACGUGUAGCGCUGCUUCCAGUAGAUGGCGAGGGCCUGAUUUGCAGCAGAGAGCUUCACCUCGACCAGGUUGCGGAGCAAGUGCUCGCCGGCGGUGAGGCGGCGGCGCUCUUCCAGGAGAUCCAGGAGGGCGAGCACAAUGCGGUAGUUGGAGAUCACCGUGGUGAGCCGCCUGCGCUCCCUGGCCCAUUUCUUCCUCUCGGCCCGUACCCAUUUCAGCGAGCGGACCCGGCGCUGUACAGGUCGGGCAUCUUGGUUCUAUGGCCUAACCCAGACAUCCGCGACCAAGUUGCGAUAUUGGGCCGCGAAGGCCUAGGUCUUCUCAUAGCGGAAGACAGAAGACGCCGGCACCUGGGAAGACGCCGCCACGACGAUGGGGACAUGGUCCGACACCGGCCUAGGCAGGGAGCUGAGGAUGGAGUUAAAGAGGAGGGAGCCCCAGGCGGCGUUGAUGAAGGCCCUGUCCAGACGCAUCAGAGUGGGCGCGGCGAUUGCUCCAGACGCCAUAGCACGGGUAAAGAUCUGGAAAGUUGCAUUCGUUGACCUCUGAAGGAAGCGCAAGUCAGUAACCUACUAGAUCAGGCUGGGAAAAGAAAAAAAAACAAAAGUACCACUGCUUCAUUACCACGACAUCCUUGGGUAACAUAAGGAUUGCCUUGGUAGCCCUCAGCGCACUGGCAGUGGUUCUUGCAAAAGCUAUGGCUGCUGCGGCACGCAGGCGAGGACGCGUUGCCGUGGCACGUCGUGUGGUUAAUCCUCCAGUUGAGCACCGCAGGGAGCGUCCACAUCUCGUUAACCUUUAGAAGCAGGUCGGGGUCAGUGCUGAACUCGUCCUCCACUACAUAGAACCAGCUUGGCUCUCCGUUCAUCUGGAAAGCCUGGAACCUGUAGGAGCUUCGUUCCAGUAAGAUCUUCGCCUGGCAGCAGUAGGCGCCGGAGCAGUCGGCGGAGCCGAGCAUGGCGCCCGUGAACAGCUGGUUGCAGAACGUCGAGCAGGUGCUCACUGUUCGGUUGUGAUCGCCCAGGAGGACGGCUCGGUCAUCGCACCCCAUUGCCAGCAGCCUGUUCCUCCUCGGCGCCAGAGUGUAAAGCCCGCCCUCCCCGAGAGCGCUGCUCCACGUGCCAUUUGCGGUGGCCACGGCGCCGGUGGUGGGAGUACCUGCAGGAGUAUCAGAAAAGUCGACGUAGCUGCCGUUGGUGCGUACCGUGCUGUUUGCGAUGGAGACCUCGAGCACCUGCACGGUGCCGUCGCCGAGGAACAGCUUGUGCGCCCGGCGGGAGCGGUCGCAAGUCAGGUUGAAGCCGGGCUUGAGGUAGCAGCCGGGCUCCACGCCGAACGGGUACGGGAUGCUGAUGUCGCCGCAUCUCCUGGUGCAGCCGUCCGGCGCUACUACCUCGGCCGCCGCCGCCGCCGCCGCGCCCAACAGCAGCGCUGCGGCCACAGCCACCGCGAAUAGCGCCGCUCUCCUGCUCGUCGCCGGCCGACCGCCCUCGUCUCCACGCAUGCGCGGCGCGACCAUGCACUACUGUUGCUACUACCUCAGUAUCUCGCUCUAGCUCCACAAGCUUUCUGGAUGGUGAUGGUAUUUCUUCCAGCUUGUAUCAGUUCACCCUUUUCGGGCCGCCCCGCCCCCACCCCCCACCCACCCCAACUAAAAUUAGGUGGAGACGGUAUGCAAAACGCUCGGAUGUACGUCCCGUGGGAUCGGACGGAGGACAUGAAGAGGCAUCGGCUCGGGGUGGCUAUUUUUCCUCCUCGCGGCUCCGCUUCGCGCUCGCUCGGCUCAGCCUGCGUCGCUCUCCUCCUUGCCUCACAGGAGCUGAUUGCGCCUAGAAAAUAGAUCGAGCCGCCACUUCCACCUCCUUCGUCCUCCUCCUACACCGCCGUUGCGCCGCGGGUUGCCCUCUUGUUUCGCCGCAUCAACUACUACCCAAGCGGCCUCUUGGUCUUGGACGUAGACAACAAAGGCGUGCCUGUAGCUUGACACCACGGUCAUCGGAGCCACGGGCAGCCUGCCGUCGUGGAAGCCGGUGACGUAGGUCCUACCUGUACCUACAUCAACAACGAUGAUCAUAGAGCACAUCUAAGCCUUGUCGUACCUAGGGCCAUGCUGGAUGCUGCCCGGACCUUGUCAUCGUUGCCGUCCCCCUCAUCGGGCUCUCCCUAAUAUGAAAUAUGUUCAUGUAUUUAUGUAUAUAUAAGCUAUCUUUAUUUAACUAAUCAUGCUUACAAAGUACAUGGAUGUUUUGUGUGAAAUUUCAGGACUAUGGGUGAUGCAAUUGAGAAUGGGCACCGCCACUUUGAGAAUGCGCACUGCCAAUUUGAGAAUUUUAGUUUGUAAAGUAGAUAAGCCUUCAUUGUUCCGUGCCAAAAUUUCUGGCAAUGACAUAGAGAAUUGCAAAGUUGCUUGUUCCUUAUUUACAUGGCUGCUCUGAGUUAAAGAUCUCUGAACUGUUCAGUUUGUAACUAUGGUGUUUUAACUAUGGUGUUUCGGUAGGUUAUUGAAUUAUCAAGCACUAAGGGAGCAUCUUCUGCCAUAAGUCCAAUAUGCACUGAUAUGCAGUGAUGUCAAACAAUGUUUCUCUAUGUUGUCAAAUGUGAGCUGAUGCAAAAGGAUGGCUUUUGAGCCUGAUGCUGUUUGGAAGAUCAAGUUAGCUCAUGCACUCGAGGUUGACUGCAUGAAGAUCAAGUUUAACAAGAGGAGGCUGCUGAGCAUAUGUUCGGUAUAAGGAUUCACCUCAAAAGGAGGCUGUAGAGUACUGUUAUCAGAUUUUAUCAGAUUGUACGGUGUAGUUAUCAAAUUGUCCAAUGUAUUAAAAAAUAAGAUUAUUCUGAAAUAAACAUGGAUGUUCUAAAAAAUUGAGUUUGACUAUCAUUUGGAUAUUCUGAAAUACAAGUAUGUAAAAAAAUAAAAGCAAGACUGAUUCUGAUGCAACAUAAUGCAUCAAGUAAAAUUUAUUAUUACACCAUAAUAAAAUCUAGGGCAAAUAACAAAAUCCCACAUGCAAAGUGGAAACUUUAACAGCUUAGCACAGUUACAUAUUUUCAUGAUUAGAUCUGUAACGCCCGCAGAAAUCACUAACUAAAAUCACCCGUUAAAAACCGUCUUUAAAAUCUUUUUACCGCUGAGCUCCCGGAAAUCGGAAAUCUCCCCGGCGAUUUCGCCGUCCCGGUACCCUUGCCGACCCCACCUAUCCUUUUUAUCUGUGCCCGCGAAUCUCGCCGCGUGCCGGUGUCAGACGCCGUGCGCGUGCUCCGACCGCGUGCCGCGAGUGCCGCCGGUCUCUCCCUUUUUCUUUCUCUUUUCCUCCCCCUUUUCCCUUUUCUUUUUCCUCCUUCUUCUUUCUUCCUCUUCCUUCUUCUUCUUCUUCCUCCCUCCUUCUCUCUCCUUCUCUUCCUUCUUCCUGGCACCACCCGUCCGGCCCCAGCUCUUAACUCCCGGCGCCACUGGCGCCACUCCGCCCGGCCUCGCGCGCCAGGGGCACGCUGCCCGGCCUCGCACGCCAGGGGCCCGCCGCCCGGCCGGUGCCACCACGCCGCCCCUCGGGCCGUGCGCCCGACCCAGGCCCCGGUUGCCUGCGCCGCCCGCUCCGGCGUCCGGCCGUCCCGGCCCCGCGCGCCGUCCCCUCCACGCCGGCCUCCUUCGGCCCCGCGCCAUACCCCCGCUGCCGGCCCCUACCCCCUCCUCUCUCGCCCGGCACGGCACCGGUGCCGUGCCGGCCAUCGCCGGCCGCCGCCCGGACCCCCACCCCCGCACGCCUUGGACCGCCCCUCGCCGGCCUAUAAAAGGGGGCGAGCACCUCGGCCACCACCAUCACAACCUUCACAUCAUCCGCCGCCGCCUCCCUGCACAACCGCCGCCGCCCCCUUGCCGCCACCACCGCCCGCAGGCGCCGGCGCCCCUGCCCCUCCUUCGACGACGUCGCCCGAGGUGAGGCAAAAUGGGGCCUCCACCCCAUCCUCCGCCGCCCGGCCCUCGGCCGCCGCCGGCGCAGCCCCGCCGGCCGGCCGCCGCCGGCCACUCCCCCCCCUCUCUCUUCCUCUGGUUCAUGGAAGAAGAAGGAGCCAAAACUCUAAGAAUUCCGAUCUAACCCUCAAGUUUCCCCAAAUUACACAUAAGCCCCUCCACUUCCGAAAGAAAUUACAAAUAGGUCCCUGGUUUAUUAAAAAUCAGCCCUAACCCUCCAUUUAAGCCCCUAAUCAAUGUUUAACCCGUCAUUUCAUGCGCCAAACUCCCUCCAAUUAAUCCCAAAUUUUACCACGUCAUCCUCCAGAAUACUUUCGCCGAUCCAUAUCCAAAUUUCCCAAAAAUAAUCCCUCUAUCUAUUUUCCGUUCGCGUUUCCUGUUCGGAGCUCACGGUUAAAAAUCGUUUCCUCUUUUAUUUAUUUGUGUGUCUGUUUGUGUGUGCCGUAGAUCGCGGAUUGCCCGAGGAGGAGCCCGAGGAAGAGUUUGACCGCGAACCCGAGCCCGAGGACCAGUACCGCGAGCCGGAACUCCCGGAAGGCUUUGAAGACGGCAAGUCCAAUCUCACCCUUUGAUGCAUACUUAAUACCUAGUUUUUCAAACACAACCUAUUGGCCUGUUUUACAAAAUGCAUAUUAUUUUAUCGCAAGAUAUGGUUGGAUAGCCACCCCUUGAUUGUUAUGAACAUUCCUUGUUGUCCUAUGUUUAUCUCUAAAUACGACUUGCUCUGUUUAGAUGAUAACCACUGCUAGAACGCUUAGGAACUUGUUACUCAACUACAAUCAUUAUUACAAUGGUGUUUUCGGAAAAUAAAUGUGUGUGUGUGUCCAAGUAAGAGGAAUGGCUUUUGGGUUCGGGAAAAAGGAUGUGUAGACGGGAUGGAUAGGUGUUCCUUGUGUGGGAUGCCACGUUGUUGUGCUCGUACCUUGGUGGUUGAGUAAUGUCGGGAGAUAUCCAUCCUAUCAUAAUUAAGGACCGAGUUGAUGUGUCAUCUUGCCUAAUUCCACUAUCGUGCAACCACUCGACCGUUGUAUGGGCAACGGCUUAGCAUAAAUCCCACUAGCUGGAUGGUUAGUCCUCCGGGGUGCUGGUGAGCAACGGAAACCCAUGGGAAAGGAGUAAGAUCUUGGUGACUUGAGUCCCGGUCACGGUCUCCUGAAUGAGCCGUGGACCCCUUGGGUGUUCCGUGAGAACUAGCCAGUCUUAGCUAAGGUGGGUAAUGGCUUUGUUAGGAUCCGUACCGUCACUAAGGUGAUUGUGCUACGGUACCCUACUUGUGGGAAAAGUGUACACCCUCUGCAGAGUUAAAACCUAUCCGGGUAGCCGUGUCCACGGUAUUGGACGAAUUACGGCUUGGUCACAUAACUAGUGUUUGGGCAAGGAUGUCAUGAGUGUGUGUGUGUGUGUGUGUGUGUGUGAAUUUCAGAAGAGUCCGGCACUUGUGCCGUGCGCUAUGACGGGCGGGGAGUCCGAUAGCGAUAAAAGCUUGGAUCCUUUGUGUAGGAUCAACCCCACUCAGUAUUUCGGGUAUUAAAAGGAGAUUUUACAAAAACCCUUUCGAAAACGAUCCCCUGCAUGUGUUAAAAAUUAGCUUUUCCGCAAAAUAAACCCUAGCCUACCCUUGUUAUACUUGUGCAUAAACUUGCUUGUAUCCCCCUCCGUGGAUGGGGUUGGACUUGUUGAGUACGUUAGUACUCACCCUUGCUUCAUUGCUACAGAGGAAGACCCUGAGUUCGUCGCAGAAGACCUCGAGUAGAGGUUGUGUCCGCACCCGACGCUGCCUGUGGUGUUGCCCUGCCCAAGAUGCUGCUGCUGCCGUGUAGUCCCGAGUGCUGUCUUUUGGCAGUCGCUUGGUUAGCCGCCGUUGUUUAUUUACUGUUUAUCGCUGCGUGGCUUUCACGCCCACUCCCUCGGGAGUUGUACGGUAACUGAAUUAUCUGUCGAAUAAAUGUGUUAUCAGCCUCCUGGGACUGAUAUUUGUAUCACAUUUAGUCUCUACUUAUGUGGGGACGCUUCAGGUGGUAUCAGAGCCGUCGUUGGCUGUAGGACGCGACCUUAGGACCAGAUUAGCCCAUUUUGACCAAAACAAAAGAAUUACAAAAUUUCUUCCUACCUUUGCUCUAUUGUAAAACUAAUUUGUGCCCCGGAUCUUUCCAGAUGGCCGAGGAAGGAUGGGUCAACAGCCACUGCCUGGAGGAGUCUGGUUUUCCCAGAUUGUUGUUCGCCUGCAUGGACCGCCUUGGGGUUUAUGAGCGUCCGGAGUACACCAGCAGGGAGUACGAGGACCGCGGGACCCCUCGGUGUGAGAUGAUUAUCUACAUCGGGCGGAGUAGCCGCUACCCGGACGUCCAGCCAUGGAAUGUGACUGCCACUGGCUUCCGGCACAAGGAUACUUAUCAAGUGGCAGCCCGGAAGGCCCUCCGUUUCCUGUGCCAGAUUUAUGAGAGGCACAUUGGCCGCACUCCGAUGAGGUUCUACCCGCCUGUCAAGAAAAACCGCCCGGUUUGGCUGGCCCGGGUACGGACCUUGGAAGGACGUGGACAGCGCGAGGAUGACCCCACUGUGCUGCAUAUGGCUGCCUACCUUCUCACCUUGGAUGAGCUCUACGACGAGCAGGCUGCUAAGUUGAAGCAGCAAACCCGUAGGGCUGAGGACGCAGAAGUUAUGGUGAGGAGGCUCCAGGUGAAGUUAGCCGCCGCCGAAGCCCGAGCCGCGGCCGCUCAAAGCAAUGAGGCCAUUGCCGUUGAGGCUCUCAAGGAGGCUGAGGAUCGGCACUCCAAGGAACUGAAGGAUGCCCACCUCACCAUUCGUGCCAGAAGGAGGAUGGUGGCCAUCGAGGACGACGAGGCCCCGAUCCUUGAAGGAAUUCCCAUUGCCCCAGGGCCCAGUAAGCGGAAAAGCCCGGAUGCCACCCCGGCACCACCACCUUCAGAAAGGGACUCCGAGGUGUCGGAUGGAGUGGUUCCCAAGACCCCUCCCACGGGUGGGACUCUGAAGGACGAGGUGCUGGCCCUUCUCCUUCCGAUAGAAGAUCACUCAGUCCAGGGAGAAGACUCGCCCCGCGAGUAGUAUGCCCAGCCAGUAUUGCCCAAGGAAUGAAGCCGUCAUGGUCCGCAGUUUAGAGUUGUACCCUCCAGUUGUGUUGUUGUAACCGGUCGUGUAGUGCGUGUUUUGGCCUUACCCCCAGCAGUGUUGUACCCCCCCGUGGCAAAAUAAAUAAAAUCGUUUGUGUUUGUUGCUUGUUAGUCUGUGUGUUUGUCGACAGGAGGUGGAUUCUGUCUCUUCGAAAAUACGAAAUAACCACUUUAAAGAUCACUAAAAUCCAAAUCAUACUCUCAUAAAAGUCUCACUCAAUCUGCAGAUGCCGCCCAAGCGUGCCACCAGGACUUCCCCAAGCCAGGCCCAUGCCACCCCCAGUGCAGAGAGGCAGCCAGAAAGGCAAGAACCGCCUCCGGCAGCACUUCCUGAGGAGCAGGAAGUGAGCCAGCCUGAAGGAAGGGGAGAAAGUCAGGUGGGGACACAGCAGCCACCACCCCCACCGGUUAUUGAUCUGGUUCAAGUAAUGAACAACCAGACCCUUCUACUGGAAGCACUAGCCAACGCCAUUACUCGCCAGAGGCCCCGCGGGCAGAACAUGAAUGAGAAGUUGACGGACUUCCUCCGGACCAAGCCACCCACUUUUGGCGGGUCUGUUAACCCUCUGGACGCAGAUGACUGGCUGCGUGUCAUCCAGAGGAAGCUGGAGCCAUUUGGUUGUGAGGGCAGGGACAAAGUUCUCUUGGCUGCCCACCAGCUCACUGGAACUGCCCUAGCUUGGUGGGAGAACUACUGCUCUGCCGCCCAGGAUGCCUCUACUAUCACCUGGGAUGAGUUCGUGACGGAAUUCCGUCGCUACCACAUCCCCGCCGCCACCAUGAAGCGCAAGGCGGAUGAGUUCCGUGAACUCCGCCAGGGCAACCGAUCUGUGGAGGAGUACACCUUCCAGUUCAUGGAGCUGGCCCGUUAUGCUCCAGAAGAGGUGGACAAGGAUGAGAAGAAGUAGGACAUGUUCAAGAAAGGCUUGAACGCGGAGCUGAGAACCCUGCUUACUCCCCAGAUCUACCCCGACUUCAACACCUUGAUGAACAUGGCCAUCUUGAUUGAGAGGGCCAAGGCAGAAGAGCGGAGGGACAACAAGCGUCGGUUCCUGGAAAACAAGGCGCACCAGCAGGAUCGAUUUCAGAAACCAAGGAGCUUCGGUCACCCCUUGCCCAGAUCCCAAGCUCCCAUGCAUUAUCGGACCCAGUCCCAAGCAUCUGGUUCGCAUCAGACUGCUGUCCCAUUCAGGAGCCAGAACUCUAUCAAGGCCCCACAAAGCAGCGCCAGCCAGGUCACCAGCAAUGGUAGAGCAUGCUUCAACUGCAGAGAGCCAGGGCAUUUCAUCGCCAACUGCCCCUAUGCCAACAAGCCAGCAGCAUCAGCCUUGUCCAACUUGGUAGCUGGGCCCAGGGCCACAUUGACAGGAGCCAACCGUGUGCCAGCCCGCAGCAGUGGCAACCCCAGUAACAACAACAGCCAGCAGAUGAGGCCGCCCCAGCAGUCAUUCGGACGAGCCCGCGUCAACCACAUCGGCGCGCAGGAGGCUCGCGAAGCUCAGGGCGUGGUACUCGGUGAGUUCCUAGUCAGCUCAGUCUUGGCAACAGUACUUUUUGAUUCUGGGGCAUCACAUUCCUUCAUAUCCUCAAGUUUUGUGGAGAAACAUCAUAUACCUACAGUACUACUAAAGUUACCCCUAUUAACCCGGACCCCUGGAGCCGACAUUCAGUGUCGACUAGGCUGUUCCCGGGUAAGGAUCAAUUUAAGUGGGGUAGAAUUUCUAGCGGAUCUAGUAGUACUUAAGUCUAAGGGGAUAGAUGUGAUCCUUGGAAUGGAUUGGUUAAGCCUGCACGACGGUCAUAUAGGGUGUGCUGAUAAAGUGGUGCACUUGACCAAUCGAAAUGGUGUGCAAGUGACCUGUCACACUAAGGGAAGUGGCCCAGACCCCAUGGUGUUCAGCAUGGAGACCAAGACCAUAGAAGAAGUUCCGGUAGUGAGUGAAUACCCGGACGUCUUUCCUGAGGAACUACCUGGAAUGCCCCCUGACAGAGACAUAGAGUUCGUAAUUGACCUUGUCCCCGGAACCUCCCCUAUAGCCAAGAGACCCUAUAGAAUGGCAGCCUCAGAGUUAGCCGAGCUGAAGAAACAGUUGGGAGAGUUACAACAGAGUGGCUUUAUCAGGCCCAGCUCAUCCCCGUGGGGAGCCCCCGUGCUUUUUGUCAAGAAGAAAGAUGGGAGUAUGAGGAUGUGCGUGGAUUAUCGUGCAUUAAAUGAGGUCACCAUUAAGAACAAGUACCCCCUCCCUAGAAUAGAUGACUUGUUUGACCAACUAAAGGAAGCCAAGUAUUUCUCCAAGAUAGAUCUGAGAUCGGGAUAUCAUCAGCUCAAGAUCAAGGAGAGCGACAUUCCGAAGACUGCCUUUGUCACCCGCUAUGGUCAAUUUGAGUUUACAGUGAUGUCCUUUGGAUUAACCAAUGCACCUGCUUACUUCAUGAACCUCAUGAACAAGGUGUUUAUGGACGAAUUAGAUAAGUUUGUCGUAGUCUUUAUUGACGACAUACUUAUCUAUUCCAAGAGUGUUCAAGAACAUGAACACCACUUACGGGUGGUCUUGGAAAAAUUGAGAACCCACCGACUCUAUGCUAAAUUCAGCAAGUGCGAAUUUUGGCUUGAGAAAGUGGCAUUCCUUGGUCAUAUCUUGACCGCGGAAGGAGUAGCAGUUGAUCCUGAGAAGGUGGAAGCCGUCUCCAACUGGCAGCAGCCCACUAAUGUUAGUGAAAUCAGGAGUUUCCUGGGUUUAGCUGGAUAUUAUCGGAGGUUUAUUGAGGGAUUCUCCAAGAUAGCCCGUCCCAUGACAGAGUUGCUCAGAAAGGACAAGAAGUUCACCUGGACCGAGUCAUGUGAGCGGAGUUUCCAGGAGCUGAAGAGAAGGUUGACAACAGCCCCAGUGCUGACCUUGCCAGAUAUCCAGCGAGACUUCGUCAUCUACUGCGAUGCAUCUCGACAAGGAUUAGGCUGUGUCCUCAUGCAGGAUGGGAAGGUCGUGGCAUAUGCUUCCCGACAGCUUAAGCCCCAUGAGCAGAACUACCCAACCCAUGACUUAGAAUUUGCAGCCGUAGUGCACGCCCUCAAGAUCUGGAGACAUUAUCUGAUUGGGAAUAAGUGUGAAAUCUACACCGACCAUAAAAGCCUAAAGUACAUCUUUACCCAACCCGAUCUGAACUUAAGGCAGAGGAGGUGGCUAGAGCUGGUAAAGGACUACAAUCUGGAAAUCCAUUACCACCCCGGCAAAGCUAAUGUUGUAGCUGAUGCCCUAAGCAGAAAGUCCUAUGGACAGCCCGGACCCGAGGAUGCCCGACUACGAGAGGAAAUGGCCCGGUUGAAUGUGCAUAUCGUUCCCCAGAAUGCUAGUCGUAGGCUAAGUGUCCAGCCCACAUUGGAGGAUAAAAUCCGAGAAGCCCAGGGUUCAGACCAAGAUCUAGUAAAAAUCCGCAAGCAGACAGGAGAAAAUAAAGCCCCGGAUUUCAGGGUAGAUGACAAGGGAACCUUGUGGUAUAAGAAUAGAAUUUGUGUCCCUAAGGACGGGGAAUUCCGGCAGACCAUCAUGGAUGAAGCCCAUAACUCAGCAUACUCCAUUCACCCCGGAUCCACCAAGAUGUACAUGGACUUAAAACAGAAAUACUGGUGGAACGGGAUGAAGGCAGACAUAGCUCAGUUUGUCGCCCGGUGUGAUAUCUGCCAAAGAGUCAAGGCCGAGCACCAGAAGCCAGCCGGUUUGCUACAACCCUUGCCUAUCCCGGUUUGGAAGUGGGACGAGAUUGGCAUGGAUUUUGUAGUGGGCUUACCCAGAACCCAGAAAGGGAACGACUCCAUAUGGGUAAUAGUGGACCGACUCACCAAGGUUGCUCACUAUCUGCCCGUACGGACCACUUACGGUGGAGAAAAACUGGCUCGACUCUACAUCGACAACAUAGUGAAGUUGCACGGUGUGCCCAGCCGGAUCGUCUCAGAUAGAGGAACGCAGUUCACCUCUAGGUUUUGGAGGAGCUUACACAAAGCCAUGGGCACCAAACUGGAUUUUAGUUCAGCUUAUCACCCCCAGACCGAUGGCCAAACCGAACGGGUAAAUCAGAUCAUGGAGGAUAUGUUAAGAGCGUGUGUCCUCACCUAUGGAAAGGAUUGGGAACAAAGUCUACCCUAUGCAGAAUUCUCAUACAACAAUAGUUACCAAGCCAGUCUAGGCAUGUCACCAUUUGAGGCCCUUUAUGGUAGAAAGUGUCGGACCCCUUUGAUGUGGUCAGAAGUCGGAGAGCGUUCCCUGGUCGGACCAGCUUUUAUCAAGGAAGCAGAAGACCGUGUAGCAGAAAUCCGGGAAAAGUUAAAGGCUGCACAGUCUAGACAGAAGAGCUACUCUGACAAAAGAAGACGAGAAUUGUGCUUCAAUGAGGGAGAUUUUGUCUACCUCAAGGUAUCCCCGAUUCGGGGUACGCGAAGGUUUCAGGUGCAAGGAAAGCUAGCCCCUCGGUACAUUGGACCUUACCAGGUGUUAAAGAGAGUGGGAGCCGUAGCAUACCGUAUCCAACUGCCCGAAGAAAUGUCGGAUAUACACCCGGUAUUCCAUGUCUCCCAGCUAAGAAAGUGCUUGAGAGUACCGGAGGAACAAGUACCGGUAGAAACAAUAGACCUGCAAAAGGACCUUAGGUAUCAAGAAGUACCUGUCAAGAUUUUAGACACUGUCACCAGAAGGACAAGGAAUACAGCAGUCCGGAUCUGCAGAGUACAGUGGAGCAGGCAUGGCGAAGAAGAGGCCACGUGGGAACGCGAGGACGCGUUAAAGAAGGAAUUUCCCCAUCUCUUCAGGACUCAGUCGAAUCUCGAGGACGAGAUUCAAUUUAAGUGGGGUAGGUUUGUAACGCCCGCAGAAAUCACUAACUAAAAUCACCCGUUAAAAACCGUCUUUAAAAUCUUUUUACCGCUGAGCUCCCGGAAAUCGGAAAUCUCCCCGGCGAUUUCGCCGUCCCGGUACCCUUGCCGACCCCACCUAUCCUUUUUAUCUGUGCCCGCGAAUCUCGCCGCGUGCCGGUGUCAGACGCCGUGCGCGUGCUCCGACCGCGUGCCGCGAGUGCCGCCGGUCUCUCCCUUUUUCUUUCUCUUUUCCUCCCCUUUUCCCUUUUCUUUUUCCUCCUUCUUCUUUCUUCCUCUUCCUUCUUCUUCUUCUUCCUCCCUCCUUCUCUCUCCUUCUCUUCCUUCUUCCUGGCACCACCCGUCCGGCCCCAGCUCUUAACUCCCGGCGCCACUGGCGCCACUCCGCCCGGCCUCGCGCGCCAGGGGCACGCUGCCCGGCCUCGCACGCCAGGGGCCCGCCACCCGGCCGGUGCCACCACGCCGCCCCUCGGGCCGUGCGCCCGACCCAGGCCCCGGUUGCCUGCGCCGCCCGCUCCGGCGUCCGGCCGUCCCGGCCCCGCGCGCCGUCCCCUCCACGCCGGCCUCCUUCGGCCCCGCGCCAUACCCCCGCUGCCGGCCCCUACCCCCUCCUCUCUCGCCCGGCACGGCACCGGUGCCGUGCCGGCCAUCGCCGGCCGCCGCCCGGACCCCCACCCCCGCACGCCUUGGACCGCCCCUCGCCGGCCUAUAAAAGGGGGCGAGCACCUCGGCCACCACCAUCACAACCUUCACAUCAUCCGCCGCCGCCUCCCUGCACAACCGCCGCCGCCCCCUUGCCGCCACCACCGCCCGCAGGCGCCGGCGCCCCUGCCCCUCCUUCGACGACGUCGCCCGAGGUGAGGCAAAAUGGGGCCUCCACCCCAUCCUCCGCCGCCCGGCCCUCGGCCGCCGCCGGCGCAGCCCCGCCGGCCGGCCGCCGCCGGCCACUCCCCCCCCCCUCUCUCUUCCUCUGGUUCAUGGAAGAAGAAGGAGCCAAAACUCUAAGAAUUCCGAUCUAACCCUCAAGUUUCCCCAAAUUACACAUAAGCCCCUCCACUUCCGAAAGAAAUUACAAAUAGGUCCCUGGUUUAUUAAAAAUCAGCCCUAACCCUCCAUUUAAGCCCCUAAUCAAUGUUUAACCCGUCAUUUCAUGCGCCAAACUCCCUCCAAUUAAUCCCAAAUUUUACCACGUCAUCCUCCAGAAUACUUUCGCCGAUCCAUAUCCAAAUUUCCCAAAAAUAAUCCCUCUAUCUAUUUUCCGUUCGCGUUUCCUGUUCGGAGCUCACGGUUAAAAAUCGUUUCCUCUUUUAUUUAUUUGUGUGUCUGUUUGUGUGUGCCGUAGAUCGCGGAUUGCCCGAGGAGGAGCCCGAGGAAGAGUUUGACCGCGAACCCGAGCCCGAGGACCAGUACCGCGAGCCAGAACUCCCGGAAGGCUUUGAAGACGGCAAGUCCAAUCUCACCCUUUGAUGCAUACUUAAUACCUAGUUUUUCAAACACAACCUAUUGGCCUGUUUUACAAAAUGCAUAUUAUUUUAUCGCAAGACAUGGUUGGAUAGCCACCCCUUGAUUGUUAUGAACAUUCCUUGUUGUCCUAUGUUUAUCUCUAAAUACGACUUGCUCUGUUUAGAUGAUAACCACUGCUAGAACGCUUAGGAACUUGUUACUCAACUACAAUCAUUAUUACAAUGGUGUUUUCGGAAAAUAAAUGUGUGUGUGUGUCCAAGUAAGAGGAAUGGCUUUUGGGUUCGGGAAAAAGGAUGUGUAGACGGGAUGGAUAGGUGUUCCUUGUGUGGGAUGCCACGUUGUUGUGCUCGUACCUUGGUGGUUGAGUAAUGUCGGGAGAUAUCCAUCCUGUCAUAAUUAAGGACCGAGUUGAUGUGUCAUCUUGCCUAAUUCCACUAUCGUGCAACCACUCGACCGUUGUAUGGGCAACGGCUUAGCAUAAAUCCCACUAGCUGGAUGGUUAGUCCUCCGGGGUGCUGGUGAGCAACGGAAACCCAUGGGAAAGGAGUAAGAUCUUGGUGACUUGAGUCCCGGUCACGGUCUCCUGAAUGAGCCGUGGACCCCUUGGGUGUUCCGUGAGAACUAGCCAGUCUUAGCUAAGGUGGGUAAUGGCUUUGUUAGGAUCCGUACCGUCACUAAGGUGAUUGUGCUACGGUACCCUACUUGUGGGAAAAGUGUACACCCUCUGCAGAGUUAAAACCUAUCCGGGUAGCCGUGUCCACGGUAUUGGACGAAUUACGGCUUGGUCACAUAACUAGUGUUUGGGCAAGGAUGUCAUGAGUGUGUGUGUGUGUGUGUGUGUGGAAUUUCAGAAGAGUCCGGCACUUGUGCCGUGCGCUAUGACGGGCGGGGAGUCCGAUAGCGAUAAAAGCUUGGAUCCUUUGUGUAGGAUCAACCCCACUCAGUAUUUCGGGUAUUAAAAGGAGACUUUACAAAAACCCUUUCGAAAACGAUCCCCUGCAUGUGUUAAAAAUUAGCUUUUCCGCAAAAUAAACCCUAGCCUACCCUUGUUAUACUUGUGCAUAAACUUGCUUGUAUCCCCCUCCGUGGAUGGGGUUGGACUUGUUGAGUACGUUAGUACUCACCCUUGCUUCAUUGCUACAGAGGAAGACCCUGAGUUCGUCGCAGAAGACCUCGAGUAGAGGUUGUGUCCGCACCCGACGCUGCCUGUGGUGUUGCCCUGCCCAAGAUGCUGCUGCUGCCGUGUAGUCCCGAGUGCUGUCUUUUGGCAGUCGCUUGGUUAGCCGCCGUUGUUUAUUUACUGUUUAUCGCUGCGUGGCUUUCACGCCCACUCCCUCGGGAGUUGUACGGUAACUGAAUUAUCUGUCGAAUAAAUGUGUUAUCAGCCUCCUGGGACUGAUAUUUGUAUCACAUUUAGUCUCUACUUAUGUGGGGACGCUUCAAGAUCCUCCAGCGAAAUUUAAUUUCCUAACUGCUGACUACAAUGUGGCGCCUUGAUCAACUCCAAGUAACAAACUUGCCUUCUUGCAUAUAUGGGGCAGACAUGGUAGAAAAAUUUCCAAUCAUAUUAAAGUGUGGCAUUGUCGCAUUACCAUAUCCACCUUAGAUCAACGGAGUAGACACGAUAGAAGAAUUAAGAUCCUGUGUCAUAUUAAAUGUGCCAUAUUAAAUGUGCGUAUAAGUAAAUAAAUUGUGAAAAGGGUAUAAUUAGUCUGAAUCAUGUAGAGUAAUUGCUUUGGAUCAGCAUCUCCAUCUCCAUUUUCUGCAGCAGUAUUUGGAUCCUCUCCUGCAGUUGACAAAAAAUGAACAUAAAAAAAUUAUUAUAGAAGCAACCAUAAGGGAAGAAAAACCAUCUUGGUAGGAUCACUACCUUUCUUCUUAGAACUUUUCUUCUUUGAUUUCACUGUCUUCUUUUCAACCACAUUUUUGAACCAUGCAUUCUUUGUGCCUUUUACCACCUGAGGAACUCUAAAAGAUAUUACACCAUUCAAUGAGCCUGUGUCACAUUCAUUCGGAAUUAGAGGAACCUCAUUUGAUUUUUCUUGCAUCUUGCUAAGAGAAGUAUAUGCUUCCAAGUCCAACUUCUCUAUAGCUUUCUCCAAAUCAUCAAGAAGCUCUCUUGAUAUUGAACACUUCAAUGCAAUGGUUGUAGCUUUUCGAGAGGUAAGUGCAGCACGUGCUUUCAAAUCUUCCUCCUCACUUCCUUGUUUGUCGAUAUAAAAUCCCCUUUUUGCAUAUUUUGUCUAUCUGUUUAGAAUAUAUUCCGAUGGCAAACUAUACACUCCAUUUAUAUUGAAGACUCUAAGGGCAUGCUUGCACAAUAUACCUAUACGACAUGGAUACCAUUUUCAGCAAAUUGUAUAAAAAAAUUACAUUACAAAUUGAAAUGCAUAUACGUAUGGCUUCAAACUUUCUGCAAGAACAUGUAAUGAUAGAAUCUACACUGUUGAACACUACUGUUGCUCCAUGAUCGGAUUGCAUGUAUGUGACAAAAGAAUGUCAAGUUGGUCUGUUCAGUUUGUAGAAAUUUAUGAGACAAUGAUAAUUGUUUUUUAAAUUCAUCCUCAAACUCAGAAUACAUCCUUCUUAUGUAUGAUUCCGCUGCGGUGUUCAGCAUAGGUAAAUCUGGGGCGUAAGUAACCACAUCCUUUCGGCGUGAAUUAAAGUCUUCAUCCAACUCAUUUUUGCGAACUAACUAAAACCUUCUCACAUUCUACAAGGAGUUCCGAAAGACUGAGUUUCCUAUGAAAUCUUUUCUUAAAUACAUUGUUCAUGCCUUCACUCCUUUGAGUCGAGGUCAUAUCUGCUGUAAAAGCAUCACGGUACACAACUGCCUAAUUGGCCCUCAAAUCAUAUAGGUUUCUCAUCCAAGAGUUAUCCUCUAGGUUAUAUUUAGAUAGCAACUCAUUCCACUUCUCGAUGAAGUAAGCCUUCGAUCUAUCUUCAUACACACAUCUCUUAAAAUCAGGUAAAAACUUAUUAUCUAACUCGUGAAUUGUGAAUUACAUGCCCGAGAUGUUGAGUAGUAUUUAAGUAAAUGUGCCACAAACGAAGGUAAUGGCUUGUAUUUGGGAAUACAUAAGCAAUUGCUCCAGCCAUGGUCAUGUGAUCAGUGAAAAUUGUCCUUGGAUGCUUGCCUGACAUUGCUGUUAGGGAGGUUUCAAAGAGCCAAACAAAUGAUUCAAUAGAUUCAUUAAAUAUCAAUGCAACCCCAAAGAUUAUCGUCUGCUUGUGAUGAUUUGUUCCAAGGAUUGGAGCAAAAGGCAUCUCAAACUUAUUAGUCUGAAAGGUAGUGUCAGAUGACACAACAUCACCAAAGCAUUUGUAGUCCAUAAUAGACUGACCAUCUGCCCCAAAAAGAUUUGCUAUCCGACCAUCUUUCUAAUCUACAUGAAUGGCAAAAAAAAUGUAGGAUCCUAUAACUGCUUGUUUCUCAGGUAUUCUACCACUGUCUGUGCAUCAUUGACUUCUAACGUCCAAUCUCAUUAUUGCAAUCCAUUUUUGCGAAUGGCACUUUGUCAGCUCCUUCAUAAAACUGAUUCAUGAACUCAUACACCUGGGCUGACUUCAUCUCGGCUUCUCGUAUCUAGCCAAUUAGCAUCCUGUCUACUUCAGUGACACGUUGUUGGGAUCUCAGCUUGUGCAACUUAUCUGGACUAGCAAGAUGAUGAUUAUGUUCAGUUACAAUCUUUUGCACUGUCUAAAUCCCUUCUUUGCUGACACUAAAGUGAACACGAGCAUCAUAACCCGUUCUUGUAGUGUCUUUUGAUGACUCGGUUUGCCGAUAUCCUUGGCUACUGCAAACUAUAUAUUUCUGAGAUAUACUACCAUUUACUUGACACUUUGUAUUGCUCUUUCUAACACUGAACCUAACCUUACCGACAUAGGUGUUAUACAUCUCAACGGCUUCUUCCUCUUAUCCAAAACUCAUUCCAACUUUAGGAGUGAUCCUAACUUUAUCUGCCACCUGUUGUAAAAUGAGAUGAUGAUUAAUUAUUCAGGCAUGUUAUGCAUAAUCGUACCAAAAUAGAUAAGUAACAUGCGAUGUUUUUGUAUUAUCGUAUAAAUGAACAUGCGAUGACCCUACCUGUGAUGGCUGCCCUCUGUAGACCCUAUGACCACCGUCAGCGAUUGCAUCAUCCUCAUGCGCAUCUGAGGUUGCCUGCUGUGAGCCUGUAUCAUGUGCUAGGACACAGGGGGGAGCAACCACGGAUGACUCCUCCCGACCCCCUCCUCCUAGCAUGGAAGAUAGGGUGUCAUUGGACUUCGUGACGGGGAAUGCCCUCAUCUGCGUGUUUCUUCUUCCUUUUCUCCGGCUACUUCAUCCCCAAGGACAGCAUCCCGAGGUACCGGGUGUUCAUGUACUACGUGUCCAUGUACAGGUACCCGCUGGACCUGCUGCUCAUCAACGAGUACGGGGGCAGCGUGACGGGCAAGUGUGUCGCCUGGGUAGGAGGAGAUCACGGUGGUGGUGGGGGUAGAUGGAGGAGGCGGCGGCUCGCAGAUACGUGAGGGCUACCGUAUGCACAGUAUGACCAGAUGGGGUGUUGUGUGGUGAGGCUGUCGAAAACCCUCGCUCUAUUCUACUGCCGAGCCGACUCUCCGAGUCUUGGAGCCGAGCCGAGCCGCGUCCUCGCACGGCGCAAGAGCUGAGCACUGCAGCACCCUCCGACUCUUCGAGUCAGUUGCGUGCGUCGGAUGGAAGGGGCGCACACAUGCCGUUCAUUCAGGGAUAAGAUGCACGGAUGCGUUUUGCAUACCAUCUCCACCCAAUUUUCUUCCCAAAAGUGGGGGAGGAUUUGAUGGGGAUGGUCCCCAAAUCCCCCUCCGUGAGAACCAGCCCGGAUGGUUGCCGCGUGGCAAUGGAUUGGAUCCGACGCUCGCGCUGGCUCACUUUGCUGCUCUCCAUGGCCCGCUUGCUCGGCUCAGCAAUCAGCUCACAUGCGGAAUUUCAUCUGGCUCCCAACCCCUGGAGCCGUUCACGUCAGUAAGGUCGGAAGCCAGACGUUGCCGCCAUGGGAGCACAAGCCUCUCCGAACGUCGCAGCAGCAGCCACCGCCAUGACAGGAGUUCAGAAGAGAGAUAGAGGUCUCAACAGUCCACUCGUCGCCUGCCCUUGCACACCACGGAGCAGACAACGCAGGUAGGGCGUCUUAUUCUCUGAUCAUUAUGAUUUUUCAGGUCAUCGAUUUGCCCGAACUCAAAUGCCGUACCAAGAUAAAAGCUUAAGCAAUGCUCAUAAGCAGUACUUCAUCGAUAUGCAACAACUCAAAUGUUACUUGCAAAAUCGACCGUAAAACAAAACCAAUAACCUACAUCCAACAGCAGUCCUGCCUUCCAAACCCAAGAAAACAUAAGCAGCAGUUGCAGAUCCAACAGCCCUGCCUUUCAAUUUCAAGAAAACAUAAGCAGCAGUUGCUUAUCAACAUGUGUACACACAAUUUGCUCAUGUGGUCUCUGGUCUGCAUCAACUCAAGAUAACAUCAAUUGUGUCAGGAACAAGAAAAAACAAACGGCAAAAAAUCGAGGAGUAUGGCAGGAAACAUCAGCUGUAAUUCACCGAUAUGCAAGAUCCUGAUACAUGUGCCUCCAGGUAGAAACGUCCAUUGAUUGACGUCGCGGCCUCCGGUGAAAUUUUUUUUGAUGCAGGCGAGGAAAAACAACGCGAGCGUCGCUGGAUCUUUGGGAUCGGUUGUGCCGACCAUAGGGGUAAAUCUAACUCCAUUUGCUAUUAGUUUUGGAUGCGUCAAUAAAUUGGGCAUCAGUUUAUGUUAGGGGAUUCCUAUUUGCUACUCGAGUGUUUCAACGC